rnacentral:lncRNA from 1 species
AAAAGUUGUCACAUAAACAUCUCGAUAGCCGAUCAUGGCAGACCAUAAUAAAGGAGGAUUUAUGCAAAAAGCACAAAAAAAGUUAACGCGCACAAAAACAAAGGUAAGAAAAAAUAUUCUAUUUGCACAAAAACAUUCAACAAUAUUAUUUUCUAUUUUACAAGUCGAGAAAACUUAUGACAUGACGUAAAGGACACAGAAAACACAUCUUCUUUAAACAGGUGUCUGCUAACUUUUGAUUGUCCCGUUGUUCACGAAUGCGUGAAAAUUGUGUCAACUUCCUAAAGUAUUUACUUAUUGUAUUUAUUCAGAGAUUUUAAAUAUUUAUCUAUUCAGUGUAUCAAAAUUCCAUAUGUUCAUUGUAUACAAGAUACUUUUUAGUGUACUUUUUUUUUUAAUAUUUAUUUUACUGUUGACGCACGCGGAAGUCAAAUCCGUGUUGUUUGUAUCGUUUAUCAAAAUACUACAAUUAUUGAAUUAUUGAUAAACUUUGACAGCUUCAUAAUAAGAUUGCUCUUGGGUAUUGUAGUUUCUUACAUAUCCGUAUGACAGUUAAAUCACCCAAGAUGUUUAUAGAAGAUAUUACACCCUUGUGAAGAGAGAAGUUAUAAUCUUCUUAUAAAUAAAUCACUCUGGGCUCAUAAUUGUUGGAAGAAAAUCUAUUUGAUUUCAUAGUAAUAUUGACAACAUCAAUCUAGGAAUUGAAGCAGGAACUGCUCUGAAUCAAUCCAUACAGUGGUGUAUAUAUAUAUAUAUAUAUGUCAGUGGUCUUUUUUCUUUUACAUUAAAUCACUGUGUAUACAUACAUGUACAAAUGUAGUUGACAAGGACAUGAUUAUCUUUAUGUUCAAGAUCAUUUCAUCUAAUAUGCAAUUUGAAUAAAUUCUUUGACAAAUCUCUAAAUUCUGUUUUAUCUUUUGAUAAAUAAUAUGAAUAUUAUCAAAGAAUUUAUACUUGUUAUAGAAAAAGAUUCAAAUUGCAUAUUAGAUGCAAUAUUCUUUAACAUAUUAUAGAUUUUUAAGAAAGUAGCAGAAUUUUCAGUUAGUGCAGUAUUGAAAUGUCCAAGCAAAUUAUGAUUUUAUACACCAGCAGAGGCUUCUUAUGGUAUUAAAUGCCUCUGCCACCAGCCAUUUAUUCUUUAAAUUUACAACAGUGUUUACAGUUUUUAAUAAUAAUUUUAUUCAUGACUACAUUUGAAAUUGCUAUAAGCAUACUAAGUAGUUAUAUUUCUAAUGGUCAAAAGUACUAAAAAUAGACAUACAUUUAGAAAUAGUCACAUCAUUUACCAAGAAAUAUGUAACCUGUCAUAUUCCAGGUUGGCAUAUACAAAUAUAUAUCUUGACAUAAAAAGUAUAAGGUGUGGAGGUGUUCUGCCCACCAGAACAUAACAUACCAUUUAAAUAACAAUCAUAAAGGCACCAAUAAAUAAAACAAAUUAGAGAGGGAGUGUAUUGGUCAAUGUUCGGUCAUCAGACAAUUCUGACACAUUAGAAAUACUGAAGUUGAAUUGAUUGACAGUGACACUAUAAUCCUUGUAAAUUUUAACAUGUAUACAUGUACAUGUAUAUAUUCAGGUCAUUUGAAAAGUAAUAUUUUUAGACCAUACAUCCUUAGUUAAAGAAUAGACAAUUCAAUAACAAUUUAAUUUUAAAGCAAACUGAGUAGUUAUAUUUGUAAUGUAUUGAUCAAUACGUAUUUAUCAACUAAGCCUUUAAGGUCAGCUUUGCUGGUUUGCCUGAGCCUCAUGAUCACAGUUGAAAACUCCAAGUCUCAAUUUUAGACUAAUAUUAAUUUAAGUACAAAUACACAUGUAUAUUAUUUAUGUAAGAGAAUCUACAACAUGUUUUUUAGAAGUACCUUAAAAGUUUUCUAAUAGCACUAGUCUUUCUUCUCUGGAAAUAAAUGUAAAAUCUGUUCAACAUUAAUAUUCAAAGCAUGUCAUCAACAAAAACUUCUACAUGUCAUGCAUGUGUGUGACAGUGUUUUUAUUGAACCUCACAGUUUCAAGUCAUAGAGUACUUAUCCUUAAGGACUACCAAAAAGUUCAUGUAAUGUUACAGUAAAACAUUUAUAUACAGAUGAUAAAUUUAAUUUGUUUAUAUGUUAUCUAGAACAUGUGUGAAAUAUUUACCUCCGUUGGUUUCAUUUAUUCAAUAAUUUGAAAAAUUUGGUUUCGAAAUUGAAAAAUUAGGUCUAAGUGAAAUAUUUACAUAUAAAUAUUAAAAGAAGAACAAACAAACAAAUAAAAAAAGAAAAACAAAUGAUAGAACUGUCAUCAUUAAUGAUAGGUAGACAGAUUUCUGUUAAGUCUGCUAUGGUAGGUGUAGCUUGUUUUGUGAAUGACUAGAGGCAAUAGACCGUUGAUGAAUGACUUGUAGUACUUUAAGGUGUAAAACUGCAUAAAAAUACAAUAUUAUACCUUCUAGGUGUAAAUUAUAUUUAAUUACACAGGAGAAAAUCUUUUGUAUUUUAAAUUUGAUGAUCUAGAAGUUGAAAAUUUUGAUAAAUGAAUGAUCAUAAAAAAAGUAUUUUGGUAAUAAAAAUUAUAUUUCAUCUAGUAUAAAAAAAUCUGGUUGCAAAUGAGACAACUAUCUAUCAGAGACCAAAUCAUAAAAUGAUUGAUUGUAAACAACUAUACAAUGUAGGUCACCAUGCAUGCCAUAAAGCCUUCACCAAUGAGCAAAGCCAUAGGUAUGAUAAACUAUAAACUUGAUAAAAGGCUCUGAUAUUCAAGACAAAAUACAAUGUAUAUAAAACAAUUCAAACUAGAAAACCAUUGAGCAUCCUGAUAAGGAUAGAACAAUAAGCAACAAAAAACACUACAAUACAAAACCAGUGGCGGAUCCAGAACUUUUCAUUAAGGGGGGUGGGGGGUGACUGACCUAAGGGGGGCCGCUUCAGUCAUACUUCAGUGAUUUCCUAUAUAAUCAACCAAAUUUUCCCACAAAAGGGGAGGCCCCCUGGAUCCCCCUAUGAAAACAGGAUUCAAUGACAACUGCUGAAUCAAUGCAUAUGGCUCUUCACUUGGGGCAGGCUUUUUUUCAUAUUUAUUAUAUCUUACACUGUCUUAUCAUAUUGAGCCAUAUAACGUAUUUACAUCCAUCCAAUAUAUUUUUCUUUAUUAGACUUCAAUACAUAAACAUGAUAAAAAAUCUUGGACAAUUUGAUAACAAUUUCCCUAGGUUUCUAACAAAUGCAUAACUAUUUUAAUACAAAGUUCAUAUCUAACAGUUAAUAUUUUAUCCACUGCAAUGUACAAGUACGAUAAAAUGCACCAAAGUUAUAAAUCUGCUGUCCAUUGCCAUUAUUAUUGUUUGUGUGGAGGAAAAUGAAAAUCCCUACAUGUACAAGUACGAUAAAAUGCACCAAAGUUAUAAAUCUGCUGUCCAUUGCCAUUAUUAUUGUUUAAGUAUUGUGUGGAGGAAAAUGAAAAUCCCUACUGGCUAUAUGUACAAUGAACCUGCACAUGUAUUUGUCUAAUAGACAUAUUUGUGUAAUUUGAAUAUAGAAGUAGGUAAAAAGUUUAUCUGAAUAUCAAUUAUGGAUAGUUGAGUCAAUAAGACAGUGUUUAAUGACUGAUAAAUGGUAUCAACUUCUAAAUUCUUUCAAAUACAAGAUAAUUUCAGAGCUGAAAUAUAACAAGAUAUCUCCCCACUCUAUAUCAGACUAGUCAUAACAGUACAUUUAGACCUAAUUUGGAAAUGAAAGUAUAAUUGUAACUCUAAUAAACAAUACUUUUAAUAUUAAUACAAUAAUGUACUGGUGUACAUGUACCAAGUAUCGCAUUCAGUUUAAACAUGUUAAACAACUGCAUUGUAAAUUAAAAGUAAGAAAGCUACAUGUACAAACAAUAUAAGUCUUCUUGAAAUACAUGUAAUGGAAAUAUAAAGGAAAAAUCCAAUUUGCAAACAAUAAAACCAGUGCAAACUUAUGUUAUGCAGUGUCUGAGAUAUUAUUUGAUUGGAUGUAUUCUAGUCAUUUUUAAUCAUUUUUUUAUUGUACUGCAUGGUUCAAAUAAUAUUUUGAACUUUCAAAGAUCCAAUUUAAAAAAAAAUUUCUUCCUAUUUUAUAGGUGAGUGAUGCUUUAGUACACGCUUUAAUAGAAAAGUAUUUCAGUUAUCCUGAAGUCAGUCAAAUGCACCUAGUCCACUUUGAUUAUAGUCAUCAGUGCAUGAUUACAACACUGCAGAAAAAAAUGCAUGUAAUGUGAAAAAUUGCUUUAGGGUAAACAUUAUUAAUAAAUAAUGGAUAAUAAUUUUCACCUAUCCUGUGCACUAUUAUAUACAAUGACAUCAUACUAUUAAAUCAAUGGUAGCAUGUUACAUGACAUUAACCGAAGGUGGUACCUCUCGUGUCAGAUCAGUAUUUUUGGGAAAAAAAUGAUAUGGACACAGGGAUCUCCAUGGCCUGUUUAACAAUGGCGCCCCGCCAUUGUUCAAAUGUCUUGCACCAUCUUCAAAUGACCCGCUCCAUCUUAAAACUGUCUUCCGCCAUCGUUCAAAACUGUUAUCGUUUUUAUAGCUCAACGCCAUUAUUUUAGCAAUUUGAAUCAAAAGCAGGUAAUUGCAUAACCCUAGGCUUUUUUUAAUAUUAUAAUCCAAUAUAGUUCUAACGUCUGAGGGAUAUUUAGAUUAAGAUCGCUUAUCACUUGUACCUGAGCUUGUACAGGUAGAUCAACAAAUCAGACAGGAGAAUGCUAUCUGAAUUCAUUUGUCAUUAUUCAAUAAGUUUCCGCAAAUGCUUAUUACCGGUAAUGUCUAAUGGGUUCAUGACUUCUGAAUUUGACAGUGUCCGUGAAAAAUAAGCUCCACAUGAUUUUUAACCCCCAUAACAAUUACCAAAAAUAGCAAGAAAACUACAUGAGAACCUUCAUGACAGCUUUUGGUCAUUCUCUACUAAGGGGGUGGAGCCAAAAAGGCUUGGCAUUUGAAUGGUUUCAAACGGCAAUUAAUGAAUUAUUAUAAAUAUUGAUACUUCUAUAAUGAAAACUCAAAUAAAUAUUAUUUAAAUAAGCAAUGAAUUAGCAUGUUCACCAUUCCUUAUAUGGAAGGACGAAAUACUUUCGAUCGCGCUACACUUGGGGGUAGACACGGUUUGUGAUGGUGAAAGUUCCUCCAUCAUUCAUAAUUUUCAUCCAUGGAGAUCCCUGGGACAUCUGCUCUUGAUGGUACAUUGUGUCUCUCCUGAGAGAUUUCUCAACACUUUUUUUCCAUCUUACCAUCAGUUGACUACAAAUAUCUGUUAAUCCUAUAAAAUUAUGAAAGCAGUGUUCAUAAAAUAAGAAGAUGGGGUAUGAUUGUCAAUGAGAUCACUGUCCUCCAUAGACCAAAUAACAUGGAUGUGUAACACCACAUUUUGGUCUUCAAUAUGAACAAAUCUAUAUUGUACAGUCAACUAUUUAACAGUGGCAGAUCCAGGGGGAGGGUUCUGGGGGUUGGAACCCCCUUUUCUUUGGACAAUCAAUGCAUUUGAAUGGGGACAUAUAGUUGGAACCCCCCUUUGUCCUGGGUUUGGAACCCCCCCUUUUUAAAAUGGUUGGAUCCACCACUGUUUAAAUAGGACCUAACAGUCAUGACAGUUCAAAGAAUAGUGCAUCUUGAUAUACAGAAGUAUUUUGCUUUACUUGCAUAAUAUCCAGCAUUAUGAGAUGAUAUUGGCUAUUGGUCAUUGAUAACUUUCAAAGAAGUUAAAAAAAUAUAACAGAAAAAGGUUUUAGCACAUAACACAUGUUAAAAAAUAGACACUCUCAGUUCUUAUAAGCUGUUUCUAUAUUUAAUGUGCAUGAUUAUAACAUUGCUGUCUUGUUGGCGACAAGACAAAUUCUGUGUAUUACAAAAAAGUACAUCUAUUGUACUUAUGUCCCUUAAUGUAAAACAUAUAAGUCGACUAAAACUUGCAAGGCUUAGAGUACACUUAUACACAUCCUGCAAAUUUAGAUCAAGCCUUUUUCAAUUGAUAACAUUAUGUUCAAAAGUAGUUACAUAUACUGUAUAUAUAAAAUUAUAUAUGAUAUACAUGUUUUAGUUGUUAACUGCAACAUUAUUACAUAUAACGUUUAGAUUAAAAAAAAAAAAAGCAAUUAUUAAUGCAAAUGAUAUUUGAUAAACUAUUUCACAAUUUAAUAUUUUAAUAUUUUUUUACUUCUGCUUAAAAUUAUUAUAUAACCUCAUUCUUAAUGAGUAUCUUAAGCUUGUAUGCUAAGAUUUGCUUUUAAUUGUCAUCCUUUAACUUUGGGUUUCUCAUAUGAUUAAUUCAACAUGUUAAAUUGUUACCAAUAGAUCCAAAACCCUUAGAGAAACCACAUGUUUUUAGUAUUGGGCCAUUGGUAGAUAGGAUCAUGUCUCAUUGACAAUCUAUAGUGUGAGAAGUAAAGAAAGGGGUAACUUUUUGUCAAUAAUUUUCAUAUAUUUGUGGAACCAUUAUUAUUCUUGGGAUACCAAUUUUUAUGGAUAAUAUGGGUGUACAGGUGAACCAAUAAUUUAAAUAUUUAAUGAAAGACAAAUUUCUCAUACUCUUGUUUGGGCCACAAUUAAAAAUAUUUUGGUUUGCCCAAACACUACCCAAGGUUAAGACAGUGGGUAGGUAGGUAGGUAUUUUUUUUUUUUUAAAGAAAUUGAAGUGUCGGAUGUUAAUUAGUCUUCAUGCCUAUCCGAUUAAAAAAAACUUCUUCAAAUCAGGACAAUAAAAGAAUUUGAGUAGGCAGCUUUUUUUCUGGGAAGGUAGGGUUUGGGCAAACAAACCUAUUCUUUUUUAUGGCCUUGUAGACUCUGGCAAAACAAUUACCAGGAUUCUCACAAAAGAAAUCAAAGUUACUCAAUUUUAUUACGGCACAAUAUAUACACAAGACAAACAGAUAUAUUUUCACAGCAAGGACAAACACUCGACAUACCACUGGACCACAUAAACAUGUAAAGUUAAUGUUAAAGAGCAAAUAUAGCGUCUAGCCAUUAGAAAUGAUAAAUAUAUUCAUCCAAACAGCUCGAAUAAACACAUGAGCUAGCCACAGUAUACACAAGCAUCUUAUAAAUAAGUACAUAAAUACAAUAAAUUCAUAACUAACACAGUUAUGUGGCUGGGGAGGGUAAAUAAAUUUCAAUGAAAAAUUUUCAAUGUACCGCGAAUCCCGAAACAAAGAAAUAUAUAUAAGAGCGUCCUGUUCCAGGUAACAAAUUGACCAAUCAAAAUAAGGAAAUACUCGGAACAAUUUCUUCCGAGUAAAUGUAAACAGUGAUUCACGUGGUAAUUAUCCAUUUUUAUAAAAUCAAAAAUUACACCACAAAAUCAAAUAUCCAAAAAAUACAAUUUUACAGUAUCAUAAUGUCAGUCAUUGCAUUUACUUAUAUUUUUAGUGAAUACAUUAUACAUAUCAUGUGCAUAUAAAGACAUGUAUAACUAAGGAAAUUGAUACUUCAGUCAUUUCUUAAAAGUAAGAAAAAAAAAGAUAGAUAAAGAUUAUAAUGCUUCCUUAAUAUUGUAAAUUGUAACUAUGUUAAAACUAUAGUGAGUAGAACAAUGCAUAAUUGAUUUUUGUUCAAAAAAACAAACUUUAUAAGGAAAUAAAAUAUGACAACUUGUAAACAAUUCUGAAGUAAAUUUAUUACUGUAAAACAAUAAAGAUUGUUUAAAUUAAAAAAAAUAAUGUUAAACUUAAUUAAAAUCUUAAUGCUGAGAGUUCAUUCCUUCAAUUUUGAAAUUAUAAAUGCUGUAAGUAACUCCUCUUUGCUAGCCAUAAGAUUAUACAACUCUAAGGUCCCCUUCUCUUUGAGGAGAUGGGAUUAAUAGAUCAUAACUCUCGGCUAGCAAAGAUGUAGGUUACUGUGAUCUCCUUAUUAAUUUUGGGGUACCAAUAUUUGCUGAUGUAGUUGGUAUAGGUUAACAAUGAAUAAAAAUGUUAAACUAAGUACGAUUCAAUGUUCCAUAUGCUUGUCUGUUACUUCAAUUGAAGCUGACACUAGGUAUGAUAUAUCCCUGAAGAUACAAGAUAAUUUCUUUAAUUCAUGAAAUAAGUACAUAGGAAAAUAAAUCACUCCAAAGUUGCGCAGUCCAGUCAGUACAUGGCCUUGCGUAAUUUGUGAUUAUAGCUUUCAUUAAGUUAUUAAUUAUGCUGAUAUACCGAUAAUUAUACAUGUUUACAACUGAUAAAUCAUACGAAUUUAAACCCUUACAAAUAUGUGCGUCAAAAGUGCUUUUCCGAAUUUUCUUUCAUCUGUGAGUAACACUUAACAUUUGAAAAGUAGGGAUAGGAAAAUGUCAAAACUUUAGGAGUUAUAUAUGACCAAAAACAUAUAAUGUAUAUAUCCAGAAUUGCCAAAUUCCUCUUUGGUCAACUUUGCCUGAAGGAGUUGGAACCUUAGUUCAUAUUAAAUAAUUUCUGAAAAGGGAAUUCUUCACUUAGUGACUAUAGACACAUGUACAGUGCCAUUGCAAUCAAAAAACUAAUUUCUGUCGAGAUGAACAUGAUGAAGGGUUAAGAAAAUAUAAUAUUAUUUUACACUAUGUUAAUUGCCUUCUGUGCAGCUUCAGUUGCAAUCUCUUCCCUGAAAAUAGAACAAAAAUGUUUAAUCAUUAGUUCAUUUGUGUCGUUUGCAAUUGUUCAUUUCUUUCUGGGACUUGAAUUCAAUACUAUUUUUUACCAAGAAUGUUUUUAUCAAGGUUAUAUGCAAGUUUUUGCAAUUUGAACUGACCUUGCAAAUUUACAUAUCUACAGUACAUUCUAUAUACGAUGUAUACCUGUAGAAUGUAUCAGGAAUAGACUAUAAAAGUAAUAUAGUUUGUGAAAGAUGAUAGCCAGGUAAAUUUCACACUUUGAAAAUCUGAAAUUUAACCAUGUAAUUGUCUGAACAAUUUAAAAAGGGGAUAAUAAAGAAAAGCCAUUAACUUCUGAUUCAUUUGAUUAAGUGGACUACCCUGGAAGCAUAUGGCCUUUAAAGGCUAAUACAGGUGAAAAGGUUCACCUUAAAGUACCGUAACUGAUGCUAUUCAUUCCAUGCUACAUGUAUUAAAAAAUUCCAUAUUCUGUAUAUUAAAGAAAUGGCCAAAUGUAAAUGGUCUAAUGAUUGAAUUGAAGUGUACUGGUACUAAGUACUAAUAUUUUCUCUUUAUGAAGUAAUUGAUUUGUCCUUCUAUUUCUUAUUUAUUUAACCUUUUUAACACUGGACUCUUUGGUCAUUAGUUGUAUUCUAAGGAUCAUAAAACUAUAGAUCCUAAACAGUUGAUCUAAAAGCACACAAUGGAUUUUUUUUUAAAUGACCAAAAAAAAUCAAAUCAUCCUUAAACUUUAUUCACAUAUUCAAAUGUGGGAAUACAAGCUAUAAAUGCUUUUGCAUGCCUGGAAUAAUUUUAUAAUUUGUAAUACAUUUGAGGUUAAUUUGUAAUAAUUGUAUGAAGAGUCUUGAUGGGUUUUUCAGUUGAACUAAAAGGUCAAUGACUUUGCAGCAAAACGAUUCAUUUACAUGUAAUCUUGUAGACAUACCUGUAUUCAUAAAAUUUUACUUUCUGUGGAGAGUCCACACCACUAUUGCAUGACAUAGGGUUAAAAAUGAUUUGUUUAAGGAGUAGCAUCUUGGGAUAAACUCAAGUAGAGCUAUCAAAACUGGUACAUGUACUUGGACUUAGAACUCAAGAUUUGGGGUAAACAUGUAUUUAUGAAACAUCAAACAACUUCUAACUCUAAGCCCCAAUGCGUCUGUGCUAUGAGCCUAUGUUUGAAAAAUAAGUAUGUUUUAUAUAGAAGUAGCUAAUUAGAUUACCAUUUUAAUUUCACCAAGAGUGAACAGGGCCGUAACUACAAUGAGGCAAAUGAGGCAAUGCCUCAUGUUUUAAAUAUCAAAAAAAAAAACUAAAACAAAAGAUUGUAUUCAAAUGAUUGUCUUCAUAUCAAAUUGUUUUCACUGAAAGUGUCUUGAAAGAAGCAAGUUCUCUUCACUCUCUGAUGUCGCCCCUGCAUAUUUUUCGUAAUCCAUGUUUCUAUUUUACUUUUGGUUUUCAGGGUUGAUGGUCUAUUGUUUGGACUUCUGUGUCUCGGGUUUGUCUUUUGUUCAUUUAUUGUCCUACUUAAUGACUAGUCUGAGUGUUGAUUUUCAUUUGUAAACGUGUCACACUGUGUAAUGUUGCAUGUCCACCGAUGUCCAGGCAUUAUGCGAGAAAUGUUUUAAGAAUAUACGAUGCUACUGGACACAGACAAAAGUGGUUGUUUCUGCAUGGAGAAUUGAACUUGAUAUCAAAGAAUACGAAACUGCCUUUCUUGUAUAUAAAACCAUACCCAAUUUUCUUAGUAUGGAUUGCAAAAUUAGGUAUUUUCUGUAGGUGAGAUAUGCACAAAAGUGAUAAAUAUGUAUUAUAAAUAGAAAAUUGAAUAUCUUAAUCAACAAAAAAAUAAAAAAAAUAACUGUCACUAUCAUAUACCCAAGCGCCUGUGGAUAAAACUAGAUAGCUGACAUGGUUUAAAUUAAAGUAAGACCACCAAUUUCCCGGUAUCAAAUCAUUUGUUGAAAAAAAACAUCAAUGUAUUGCCAUAUGACCUUUUACAUUCAAGGGUUAAAUUUACAUUAAGUCGUGUUCAGAACCUUUAACAGAAAAUAAAGGAAUAUGAAGUACACGUGCACGGGAGCUAAUCACACACAAUGUCAAUGUAUAGAAAACAAUACAAAUGAUCAAUGGUCAAAGUUUGUAUUCCUGUUCUUCAUCUUGAUUUUUGCUGGAGGGUCUUCAAUAAUGAAAGAAUCAUAAAUACCGUAAAACAAGGUCAAUAUGGUCCCUAGUGUCGACUUGAGCAGUACUAGUAUUUAACGUAUAUUACUGCACUAAUGACUGUCACUAUAUUUAAAUCUAGUCUUAAAAAAUCUCAAGUCAGCACAAUACAAGACAAGAACAGACAGACAGAUCCGGUAUUAAUGAUUAUGAGAAUUACGAUUUUUGCUUUAUCCUACACAUCGGUCUUUUAAUGUUUUGAAUUUCCCUAAAACUUUAAAGUCUUAAAUAACAAUGAAUCUAUGUUUUUGCUUUGAUCCCAGAAUAUUGUCAAAAAAAUAGCUAAAAAUGAUUUGCGUUUGUAUGUAAGAAAGAGUCUGUGAAACGCUCAGAAUGCACGAUUUUGUGUUAUUUUUCUCAGAGCUUCUGGGGGCCUUAAGCGGCCCCAAGACCCCUCGCCAAAUUUUUUUCGCCUCGCUACGCUCGGCAAAUAUAUUUUGCCUCAGUAUUAAAAGGGGAUAGUUACGGCCCUGGUGAACAUGCUACCAUAACACACAGACAUUUCAUGAUUUGACAAAGGAGGUUAUAAAUUUUGGUUUAAUUUACCGAUAAAGUUGUUAGGAUGUAUAGCAAAACUUGAUUAAGAGGGCUUACAUAGACUAUGCAUGUUACCCAUGCCAAUCCAAUUCAAUUUAUUUGAAUAAAAUACUGUUGAAACUAAACUAAAACUAAAAAUUUGUUAUUGUAUAUAUUUAUCUCUCAAUUUGGUGGUUUGUGAUCAUUGACCUUGAUUUGAAAUGUCAAUGAAGGGCUUCAGAUUAAUGCGAUUGACUGGAGGAAAUUUAUUUACUCUUUAUAGGAAUAUACAUCUUAAUUUCAGAUUUUAUGAUAAUUUUCUUUGAUUUAACUUGAAAGGCAGAGCUAUAAUUUCUGUAGGGCCUGAAUAGAAAUCUAAAUAGAAGUAUCCAAGCAUACACAAUUUUGUUUUCCAACCUCAGCUCACUGUAUUGGCCUUAAACAUGUUAAAGACAAAUAUUCUGGCCAAGAAAAACUUUCACAUUGACAAAAAAAACCAUGAAAUUAUAAAUGCUUGAUUUUUGUUAUUGGUUCAUCAGUUCACUUUUCCACAUUUAAUCCUCUUCCAAGUAAAACCAUUGCAGCAGUAAUAAAUGAUAGGUUUUGAACUUGCGACACCAAAGGAAAAAUCAAUUGAUUAUAUAGAUGAUAAAAAUCACUAUGUCAAAUACUUUGAAGCCUCUAUUUAAGGAAAUAAUGUUAGAUAACUCCUUUGUUUUGUUUGAAAUUUCACAAUAUGCAUUUGAAAGUCAUAUUUCCAAAAAAAUAUAAUACCGACUGUGGCAAAAUCUAAAAUGGAAGAUAUUCUAUGUUCUGCCAGAAAAUUGUCCAUCCAUUCUAACAGAAAAAUGUACAAACCAUAAGAUCUUACCAAAAAAUUACAUGAAAAACCCAACAUCAUAAACAAGUUUAUGAAAUAUUUGUGUUCAAAAUGUAUUGUGACAUUUCAUUUUCUGUUUGCUAUGUUUCAUUGGUGAAACCAUGGAAAUAUUAUAAUUAUCACUCAGUUUUUUACACUACAGCUCAGAUGGAUUUUGCUUUGAGUGGGUACCAGUAGGCAAAAUUUAAACUUGACCACUCUGCCCUGUCACCCAUAGGAGUGGGGCCUCUGUCAGGCAUGCAAUUUCUUUUGGUGAAUCAAAAGACUUGCAAGUACAAUCAAUUGAAAAAAGCAGAUAAGCAUUCAUGAUUGGUAAUCAAUAUUUUUACAAAAAAGAGAUUAUUAUAAGCUAGAGUGGGUACCAGGUGGGCAGGUGGAAAAAGCAAAAUCCACAUGGGUAACAUAUUGUUGUGUCAUUUUACUUCCAGGAUGAAAACAAUCUCCAAACUAAAACAUGACUUCAUAAUACUAGUAGAGUUCUGGAUCAAUACUAUUACUCCAUGCUUGAUGUGUAAUCGAAGAUCUUUUUCAGAAACUGGAAUUUUUAUCUUUUAAAAAUACUUUUACCUUGUUUUACCUGUGGGAUCCUAAUUGAAGUUAGCACACUACAAUUCCAAACCAAUCAGCUAAUGAAUAAUGUAACUGGUCAUCAGUGGAAACCCCCUUCCCAUUGGUGGUGCCAGUCUCUUGACCUUUCCAUUGGUGGUGCCAGUCUCUUGACCAAAUAUGGACUGUAGUCCGAGGUCAGAUGGACACGGCGGCAAUCCAACUGCAGUCUGGCAUGCAAAGAUAAUUAUUGAUCAAUACUCCCCUUUGAUGCAAACGGCAGAGUUAAUUUUAUUUUGAUUAAUGAUAUAUUUAAAAUAAAUACCCCCUUGAUGUGUAACCGAAGAUCUUUUUCAGAAACUGUACUUAUCUUAAAUACUUUUACCUUGUCUUACCUUGGUCAACAUUUACAAUUAAUUCUCCAUAGAUGGUAAUGGUAACGUUUUCCGCCGUUGCUCAGUCCAUAUCGUUUACUUGAACAUGUAUGAUGGCUCAUGUCGAAGCUGCUACAUUUAUACAUGUCUGGUUAAAUUUUCGGGGUGGCAAGUGAGAUUACUUUUUUCGCAAAUUGCUGGACCCCGGAAGAUAUUGAAAAAUGUCCCUCUCCUCAUGAAAUAAUCCCAAAAUUCUGAUCAUAAAAUUCAAUAAAAAAAUGUCCUUUCUAAUAAUUUAUUUCAGGUCAAAUGUACAUAUUUCUUUUCUCAUCACAUCAGCUCUAUAAAACAGUUCUUAUUGUUCAUUUAUGUCCAUUUUUAAAAUCACAGCAUCCACAAUUGUAUGGCGGACUAAUAUUUUUUUUAAUUGUGUCAUCUGAGUUCCUCAUAUCAAGGUCUAUUAGGGAUCUUGACCCACCUGUGGGAUUCCAACCCAUAGAUUUUCUAAACUAACCCUUACAUAAGCCCAGAGAUAGACAAAACCCUUACCAAAUUCCUAACUAUAAAUGAACCCUCAACCUAAAGAACAAGGACCCCUAAAGUAUUUAAGAAUGUUAGGAUGAAAAGCAAAUUCAAAACUGUAAACAUGAAUAAACAAAUAUAAAUAAGAAAGUGAAGUAUGAUUGGCAAUGAGACAACUUUCCUGCAUUGUAUAUAGAACAAGGAAGAAAAUAGGUCACUAUGUUGGCUUUUUUUAAUUAAAAGUUUCUUAUCAUGACUAUUAAUUAGCAUUGUCUUGCAAUCCAUCUUUAGCCUAUGUAAAUAGAUUGCACUUCAAAUGAAAAUUAGCACAGUUAAUGAAUGUUUCAUUAAGUCAAAGGUGACAAGUAAUAGAAAAGAUCAAAGGUGAUCUUGUUACCUUUAUACACCUUUAAAUACCAUUACUCUGACAGGGACAUGGCCAUUAUCAUCCCCUACAACAUCAACAUUGUGUCUUUUAUGUUUGUAUACCUGUGUUUUUACCUGUCAAUUAGAUGACCUUUAACUUGUUACACCUGUAAGCUUAGCCACAAAUAUGUAAUAGGACUGUACCAAAUCACUGAUGUUCAAACAUUAGGAGUGAUAGAUGACUGAUUUCUAAUUGUAUAGAUUAAUAUUAUUACCUAAUACAAAGUAAUGAUGUAUAAUGAUUACUUACAUUAAAACCAGAAAUCUAUAGUGCAACCUAAAAUUAUACAGUAAAACCAAAAAUGUAUAAUAUUACAUAAAAGUUAUACCUUUCCUGAAUUUGUAUCUAAUGAUAUUUCCCUUGAGAAAUAUAUAAGUUACACCUCUCUAGAUAAAGUUAACUUGGAUAUUUCCCUCUAAUGACCAGUCCAUAAAAGGAUCAAGUAUCCACCUUUGGAAAGAAAUCUGUAUGGUUUCGCUAUUAAUGCCUGAUAUAUAUACAUGCAGGUAUCUUUUAGAAGAGUGUGUCUAGUAUUCUAAACUAGAAGCCUUAUAUCUGAGUUUUUUUGUAUUAGGAAAAUGUGAUUUUAAAAAACGAAAGUAAAGUUUUUGACAACAGCAUUUUGCACAAAUAAGGAGUCAAAGGCAGAUAUGAGCACGCUGAUGUGCACACUUUGAAUGAUGCACUGCCAAUUUAACAAUUUACGUCAGAACAUCAAAUUCAUUUCAAAGUAAGAUUAAAAAUUGUUUUUUUGUCGAACCUGCAACUUUUGUUGCAGAAAGCUUGACAUAGGAAUAGUGAUCCGGCAGUGGCGGCGGCAUUAGCUUACUUCUUAAAAGCUUUAUAUUAUAGAAGGUGGGAGACUUGGAUGCUUCAUACUUUGUAUAUAGAUGCCUCAUGUUACGAACUUUCCGUCAGUCACAUGUCCAAUGUCCUUGACCUCAUUUUCAUGGUUAAGGGACUAUUAAAAAAAAGUGUAAGAUUUUUUGUAAUGUUAAAUUCUCUCUUAUUAUAAGUAAUAGGAUAACUAUAUCUAAUAUGUGCGUACCUUGAAAGGUCCUCAUGCCUGUCAGACAGUUUUCACUUGACCUCGACCUCAUUUCAUGGAUCAGUGAACAAGGUUAAGUUUUUGUGGUCAAGUCCAUAUCUCAGAUACUAUAAUCAGAAGGUCUAGUAUAUUCGGUGUAUGGAAGGACUGUAAGGUGUACAUGUCCAACUGGCAGGUGUCAUCUGACCUUGACCUCAUUUUCAUGGUUCAGUGGUUAUAGUUAAGUUUUGUGUUUUGGUCUGUUUUUCUGAUACUAUAUGCAAUAGGUCUACUAUAUUUGGUGUAUGGAAUGAUUGUAAGGUACAUGUCUAGCUGACAGAUGUCAUCUGACCUUGACCUCAUUUUCAUGGUUCAGUGGUCAAAGUUAAGUUUUUGAGUUUUGGUCUUUUUUCCUAAUACUAUAUGCAAUAGGUCAACAAUAUUUGGUGUAUGGAAAUAUUUUAUGAUCUACAUGUCAGUCGCGCAGGUUUUGUUUCACCUUGACCUCAUUUUCAUGGUUCAUUGCUAAGUGUUAAAUAUUUGUGUUUCGGUCUGUUUUUCUUAAACUAUAAGCACUAUAUCAACUACAUUUGUUGUAUGGAAGAAUUGUUAGCUGUACAUGUCUGCCUCAGGCAUGGUUCAUCUGACCUUAACCUCAUUUUCAUGGUUCAUUGAUCAAUGUUUAGUUUUCUUGGUUAAUGUUGAGUUUAUGUGACAAUUGUAAUAAAGCUAUAUAUUUAGGACUAGAAUCAACAUAAUAUCAAUGAUUAGUAAAGAAGGCGAGACAUUUCAGCGUGUGCACUCUUGUUUUAAACUAAUAACAAUCAUUGGGAUGGCCAUCUGAUUACCAUAUAUAUAAUUGCCUUUUGUGACCUAGUCUUAAGGGAUUAAAAUCGGGAUUGUAUAUAAAAUGUUUGGCUGGCUCAAAUAUUUUUUGGAAGCCCGGGGCAGAUCCAGCUAUUUAAAAAAGGGGGUUCAAACCCAGUAGAAUUGCAUCCAUCAUAAAAAAAAAGGGGGGGGGAUUCCAACCCCCAGAACCUUUCCCCUAGAUCUGACACUGCCAUUGCUUGUGUAUCUUUCCAUUAUUUAGAGUAUUAUCAGUCCUGUAGUCACCAAAAGAUAUACAAGCCUGUGCUGACAUGAGCUAUCAUUGUCAAUUUGAUGUGUUAUAUGUGUAAACAUGAUAGUAUUUUGGGUACUGAAUGCAGCUGAGAUUUCAAACAUUUGAUACCCCAUUCUUAAUUUCAUAUAUUGAAGUCUUUUAAAAAUCUUGACCGAUGAAUAUAUUUCAUGGUAAAAUUUACAUAUUGUUUAAAAAUUAUUUCAUUGAAAGGAUAAAACGGUAAUAUAUAUGUACAGAUAUCUGAUUCAANNNNNNNNNNNNNNNNNNNNNNNNNNNNNNNNNNNNNNNNNNNNNNNNNNNNNNNNNNNNNNNNNNNNNNNNNNNNNNNNNNNNNNNNNNNNNNNNNNNNNNNNNNNNNNNNNNNNNNNNNNNNNNNNNNNNNNNNNNNNNNNNNNNNNNNNNNNNNNNNNNNNNNNNNNNNNNNNNNNNNNNNNNNNNNNNNNNNNNNNNNNNNNNNNNNNNNNNNNNNNNNNNNNNNNNNNNNNNNNNNNNNNNNNNNNNNNNNNNNNNNNNNNNNNNNNNNNNNNNNNNNNNNNNNNNNNNNNNNNNNNNNNNNNNNNNNNNNNNNNNNNNNNNNNNNNNNNNNNNNNNNNNNNNNNNNNNNNNNNNNNNNNNNNNNNNNNNNNNNNNNNNNNNNNNNNNNNNNNNNNNNNNNNNNNNNNNNNNNNNNNNNNNNNNNNNNNNNNNNNNNNNNNNNNNNNNNNNNNNNNNNNNNNNNNNNNNNNNNNNNNNNNNNNNNNNNNNNNNNNNNNNNNNNNNNNNNNNNNNNNNNNNNNNNNNNNNNNNNNNNNNNNNNNNNNNNNNNNNNNNNNNNNNNNNNNNNNNNNNNNNNNNNNNNNNNNNNNNNNNNNNNNNNNNNNNNNNNNNNNNNNNNNNNNNNNNNNNNNNNNNNNNNNNNNNNNNNNNNNNNNNNNNNNNNNNNNNNNNNNNNNNNNNNNNNNNNNNNNNNNNNNNNNNNNNNNNNNNNNNNNNNNNNNNNNNNNNNNNNNNNNNNNNNNNNNNNNNNNNNNNNNNNNNNNNNNNNNNNNNNNNNNNNNNNNNNNNNNNNNNNNNNNNNNNNNNNNNNNNNNNNNNNNNNNNNNNNNNNNNNNNNNNNNNNNNNNNNNNNNNNNNNNNNNNNNNNNNNNNNNNNNNNNNNNNNNNNNNNNNNNNNNNNNNNNNNNNNNNNNNNNNNNNNNNNNNNNNNNNNNNNNNNNNNNNNNNNNNNNNNNNNNNNNNNNNNNNNNNNNNNNNNNNNNNNNNNNNNNNNUAUUGUAAAUUGUAACAUGUUAAAACUAUAGUGAGUGAACAAUGCAUAAUUGAUUUUGUUAAAAAAAACAAACUUUAUAAGGAAAUAAGAGCUUGUUCUUAUGACAACUUGUAAACAAUUCUCAUGUAAAUUUAUUACUGUAAAACAAUAAAGAUUGUUUAAAUUAAAAAAAAUAAUGUUAAACUUAAUUAAAAUCUUAAUGCUGAGAGUUUAUUCCUUCAAUUUUGAAAUUAUAAAUGCUGUAAGUACUCCUCUUUGCCUACCAUAAGAUUAUACAACUCUAAGGUCCCCUUCCUUUGAGGAGAUGGGAUUAAUAGAUCAUAACUCUCGCUAGCUAGAAAAUGUAAGUUUUUGUCACAUACUGCUUGAAGUAUUAUAGAAGGAAACUUUUUUCUGUUGUAAUAUUGUUCACCAUCCACUUUAGGAGUUUUGAUGGGAUAUGUGACCCAUCAAUUGCGCCUAAAACACCAGGGAAACCUUUGUGUUCAAAAAACAUGUCAACUGUCUCUUGCACUUUUAUUCCAGACGGCCAUUUAACUAAUGCGGGAAGCAAAUCUGAACAUAUAAGUGAAGAUGUUCGAUGUAUAAUAGUAUGAACUGUUGCUUCACAUACACCAAAGCUGUCAGCUAAUUCAGUCAAAAAUCUGUUGACAUGAUGCAUAUCUUAUGAAAAUCAGUAGCUGCUUUUCAAUAGAAACUUUCAUGAUGCCACCCUUGAGACCCACCACUAACUGAGGAGAUAAGCUUAGAACUAGUGCAUCAAAUGUUGAUCUGCUCAUUCUAAAACGAUUCUUAAAGUCAUCAGGUGUGUAUCGGGGGAUAACAUUUUCAACAUAAUUUUCCACCCUGGCGAUGUGUCUACGUUUAGCUGCCAAGCAUGAUACAACUGAGAAAACUAGCUUUCUUUUUGAGACACUCUUGUGAAUCUGAUAAAGCUUAUCAAUGCUGUCAUCUUCUGUUUGUGUUAUCAAGUCCUGUAGUAAAAGAUAUACUUCAGCCAUUUUUGUUAUGGUUUCAACAUUGUUCAAGGAAACCACCCAUUUCAAUUUUGUUUACAUGUGCCUGAACUAGGUUUAUUUUUCAAACUAGUUCGAUAAAACCUAAACUAGUUUUGGAAACCAGUUCAAAACCUUAAACUAAAACCAAAACCAGUUUUAUUUGCAAUAAAUGUACCCAUAGAAAAAUAAAUCACUCCAAAGUUGCGCAGUCCAGUCAGUACAUGGCCUUGCGUAAUUUGUGAUUAUAGCUUUCAUUAAGUUAUUAAUUAUGCUGAUAUACCGAUAAUUAUACAUGUUUACAACUGAUAAAUCAUACGAAUUUAAACCCUUACAAAUAUGUGCGUCAAAAGUGCUUUUCCGAAUUUUCUUUCAUCUGUGAGUAACACUUAACAUUUGAAAAGUAAGGAUAGGAAAAUGUCAAAACUUUAGGAGUUAUAUAUGACCAAAAACAUAUAAUGUAUAUAUCCAGAAUUGCUAAAUUCAUCUUUGGUCAACUUUGCCUGAAGGAGUUGGAACCUUAGUUCAUAAUAAUUUCUGAAAAGGGAAUUCUUCACUUAGUGACUAUAGACACAUGUAUAGUGCCAUUGCAAUCAAAAAACUAUAAUUUCUGUCGAGAUGAAGGGUUCAGAAAAUAUAAUAUUAUUUUACACUAUGUUAAUUGCCUUUUGUGCAGCUUCAGUUGCAAUCUCUUCCCUGAAAAUAGAACAAAAAUGUUUAAUCAUUAGUUCAUUUGUGUCGUUUGCAAUUGUUCAUUUCUUUCUGGGACUUGAAUUCAAUACUAUUUUUUACCAAGAAUGUUUUAAUCAAGGUUAUAUAUACAAGUUUUUGCAAUUUGAACUGACCUUGCAAAUUUACAUAUCUACAGUACAUUCUAUGUACCAUGUAUAUACUUGUAGAAUGUAUCAGGAAUAGACUAUAAAAGUAAUAUAGUUUGUGAAAGAUGAUAGCCAGGUAAAUUUCACACUUUGAAAAUCUGAAAUUUAACCAUGUAAUUGUCUGAACAAUUUAAAAAGGGGAUAAUAAAGAAAAGCCAUUAACUUCUGAUUCAUUUGAAUAAGUGGACUACCCUGGAAGCAUAUGGCCUUUAAAGGCUAAUACAGGUGAAAAGGUUCACCUUAAAGUACCGUAACUGAUGCUAUUCAUUCCAUGCUUUUAAAAAAUUCCAUAUUCUGUAUAUUGAAGAAAAUGGCCAAAUGUAAAUGGUCUAAUGAUUGAAUUGAAGUGUACUGGUACUAAGUACUUAUAUUUUCUCUUUAUGAAGUAAUUGAUCUGUCCUUCUAUUUCUUAUUUAUUUAACCUUUUUAACACUGGACUGCUUGGUCAUUAGCUGUCAUCUAAGGAUCAUAAAACUAAGAUCCUAAACAGUUGAUCUAAAAGCACACAAUGGAUUUUUUUUUAAAUGACCAAAAUAAAUCAAAUUGUCCUUAAACUUUAUUCACAAAUAAAAAUGUGGGAAUACAAGCCAUAAAUGCUUUUGCAUGCCUGGAAUAAUUUUAUAAUUUGUAAUACAUUUGAGGUUAAUUUGUAAUAAUUGUAUGAAGAGUCUUGAUGGGUUUUUCGGUUGAACUUAAAAGGUCAAUGACUUUGCAGCAAAACAUCAUUUCCAUGUAAUCUUGUAGACCUACCUGUAUUCAUGAAAUUUUACUUUCUGUGGAGAGUUCACAGCACUAUUGCAUGAUAUAGGGUUAAAAAUUAUUUUUUUGAGGAGUAGCAUCUUGGGGUAAACUCAAGUAGAUCUAUCAAAACUGGUACAUGUACUUGGACUUAGAACUUAAGAUUUGGAGUAAACAUGUUAUUUAUGAAACAUCAACCCAAACAUCAAACAACAUCUAACUCUUAAGUCCCAAUGAGUCUGUGCUAUUAGCCUAUGUUUGAAAAAUAGUAUGUUUUAUAUAGGAGUAGCUAAUUAGAUUACCAUUUUUAUUUCACCAAGAGUGAACAUGCUACCAUAACACACAGACAUUUCAUGAUUUGACAAAGGAGGUUAUAAAUUUUGGUUUAAUUUACCGAUAAAGUUGUUAGGAUGUAUAGCAAAACUUGAUUAAGAGGGCUUACAUAGACUAUGCAUGUUACCCAUGCCAAUCCAAUUCAAUUUAUUUGAAUAAAAUACUGUUGAAACUAAACUAAAACUAAAAAUUUGUUAUUGUAUAUAUUUAUCUCUCAAUUUGGUGGUUUGUGAUCAUUGACCUUGAUUUGAAAUGUCAAUGAAGGGCUUCAGAUUAAUGCGAUUGACUGGAGGAAAUUUAUUUACUCUUUAUAGGAAUAUACAUCUUAAUUUCAGAUUUUAUGAUAAUUUUCUUUGAUUUAACUUGAAAGGCAGAGCUAUAAUUUCUGUAGGGCCUGAAUAGAAAUCUAAAUAGAAGUAUCCAAGCAUACACAAUUUUGUUUUCCAACCUCAGCUCACUGUAUUGGCCUUAAACAUGUUAAAGACAAAUAUUCUGGCCAAGAAAAACUUUCACAUUGACAAAAAAAACCAUGAAAUUAUAAAUGCUUGAUUUUUGUUAUUGGUUCAUCAGUUCACUUUUCCACAUUUAAUCCUCUUCCAAGUAAAACCAUUGCAGCAGUAAUAAAUGAUAGGUUUUGAACUUGCGACACCAAAGGAAAAAUCAAUUGAUUAUAUAGAUGAUAAAAAUCACUAUGUCAAAUACUUUGAAGCCUCUAUUUAAGGAAAUAAUGUUAGAUAACUCCUUUGUUUUGUUUGAAAUUUCACAAUAUGCAUUUGAAAGUCAUAUUUCCAAAAAAAUAUAAUACCGACUGUGGCAAAAUCUAAAAUGGAAGAUAUUCUAUGUUCUGCCAGAAAAUUGUCCAUCCAUUCUAACAGAAAAAUGUACAAACCAUAAGAUCUUACCAAAAAAUUACAUGAAAAACCCAACAUCAUAAACAAGUUUAUGAAAUAUUUGUGUUCAAAAUGUAUUGUGACAUUUCAUUUUCUGUUUGCUAUGUUUCAUUGGUGAAACCAUGGAAAUAUUAUAAUUAUCACUCAGUUUUUUACACUACAGCUCAGAUGGAUUUUGCUUUGAGUGGGUACCAGUAGGCAAAAUUUAAACUUGACCACUCUGCCCUGUCACCCAUAGGAGUGGGGCCUCUGUCAGGCAUGCAAUUUCUUUUGGUGAAUCAAAAGACUUGCAAGUACAAUCAAUUGAAAAAAGCAGAUAAGCAUUCAUGAUUGGUAAUCAAUAUUUUUACAAAAAAGAGAUUAUUAUAAGCUAGAGUGGGUACCAGGUGGGCAGGUGGAAAAAGCAAAAUCCACAUGGGUAACAUAUUGUUGUGUCAUUUUACUUCCAGGAUGAAAACAAUCUCCAAACUAAAACAUGACUUCAUAAUACUAGUAGAGUUCUGGAUCAAUACUAUUACUCCAUGCUUGAUGUGUAAUCGAAGAUCUUUUUCAGAAACUGGAAUUUUUAUCUUUUAAAAAUACUUUUACCUUGUUUUACCUGUGGGAUCCUAAUUGAAGUUAGCACACUACAAUUCCAAACCAAUCAGCUAAUGAAUAAUGUAACUGGUCAUCAGUGGAAACCCCCUUCCCAUUGGUGGUGCCAGUCUCUUGACCUUUCCAUUGGUGGUGCCAGUCUCUUGACCAAAUAUGGACUGUAGUCCGAGGUCAGAUGGACACGGCGGCAAUCCAACUGCAGUCUGGCAUGCAAAGAUAAUUAUUGAUCAAUACUCCCCUUUGAUGCAAACGGCAGAGUUAAUUUUAUUUUGAUUAAUGAUAUAUUUAAAAUAAAUACCCCCUUGAUGUGUAACCGAAGAUCUUUUUCAGAAACUGUACUUAUCUUAAAUACUUUUACCUUGUCUUACCUUAGGGAUCCCAACCCAUACUGAUAGAUGUAUUCUAAACUAACCCUUACAUAAGCCCAGAGAUAGACAAAACCCUUACCAAAUUCCUAACUAUAAAUGAACCCUCAACCUAAAGAACAAGGACCCCUAAAGUAUUUAAGAAUGUUAGGAUGAAAAGCAAAUUCAAAACUGUAAACAUGAAUAAACAAAUAUAAAUAAGAAAGUGAAGUAUGAUUGGCAAUGAGACAACUUUCCUGCAUUGUAUAUAGAACAAGGAAGAAAAUAGGUCACUAUGUUGGCUUUUUUUAAUUAAAAGUUUCUUAUCAUGACUAUUAAUUAGCAUUGUCUUGCAAUCCAUCUUUAGCCUAUGUAAAUAGAUUGCACUUCAAAUGAAAAUUAGCACAGUUAAUGAAUGUUUCAUUAAGUCAAAGGUGACAAGUAAUAGAAAAGAUCAAAGGUGAUCUUGUUACCUUUAUACACCUUUAAAUACCAUUACUCUGACAGGGACAUGGCCAUUAUCAUCCCCUACAACAUCAACAUUGUGUCUUUUAUGUUUGUAUACCUGUGUUUUUACCUGUCAAUUAGAUGACCUUUAACUUGUUACACCUGUAAGCUUAGCCACAAAUAUGUAAUAGGACUGUACCAAAUCACUGAUGUUCAAACAUUAGGAGUGAUAGAUGACUGAUUUCUAAUUGUAUAGAUUAAUAUUAUUACCUAAUACAAAGUAAUGAUGUAUAAUGAUUACUUACAUUAAAACCAGAAAUCUAUAGUAAAACCUUUAAAUAUGUACUAAGACAAAAUAAUGUUCAGUUUGACAUAAAAUUUAUAGGAUAACCUAGGCCUGAAAUCUAUAGCAAAAUCUAAAACAUACGGUAAAAACUCUGUAUAGUUAUCUGAUGAUGAAUGGUCCCUUCUGAAAUUUAUGAGGGUGUCACCUUUCUGAAUAAAUUUGGUGCCAGUUCCUGCUUUUUAAAAUCUUAUUUGAAUACCUUUCCCCUGAUUGCUAGUCCACUAAAUAUAUAUAAGGGAUCAAGUAUCCCUCUUUAGUAAAAAUCUCUAGGUUUCACUAUCAAUGCCUGUUAUACAUGUAUGUGCUUUUACUGCUUUAAAUUAUGAGGCAGGUAUAAAGUGUUUAUAGUGUUCUAAAUAAGAUGCCUUGUAAAUGGCUAUGUAAAUGUCAUUAAUUGUAUACUUUUCCUUUGUUUAGAGUAUAAGAUACUAGUCCUGUAGUUAUCCAUAGAUAUACAAGCCUGUGCUGACAUGACAUAUCAUUGCAAUUUGAUGUGGUGAAUUGUGUUUUAUUUGUUAAUUUGUCUUAUCAUGAUAUUUUGGGUACUGAUGAGUGUAGCUGGGAUUUCAAAAAUGUGAUACACCAUUCAUAAUUUCAUAUAUUGAAGUCUCUUGAAAAUCACCACCCAUGAAUAUACUUCAUGGUUAAAUAUACAUAUUUCAUUUGAAAAUAUAUACAGAUAUCUAAUUGAAAGACAAAUUACUGACCCAUUGUCAUCAUACACAUUGCAUUUGACAUAUAAAUAAAACAUAUAAAUAAAAGGGACCCAUAUCUAAAGGGACAACCCUACCCCCCUUGCUUUUUAAUGAGUUAUCCUGCCUCUAUUUUAUUUCACAUGGAGUUAUUAUUCUCUCUCAAAGUCCAAUCUAUAUAACUUAUUAAGAUAUAUAGGUUCCUACUUAAAAUAAGAAAAAUUACUUGAGAUAAUUUUUGCAUAUGUAUUAUUUCAGGUUUUACAGAAUUUGGGUAAAGCUGAAAAGACUGCAGAUGACAAAUUUGAUGAACAUGUACAUAACCUUGAAAGGCAACAGGUUAGUUCAUAUCUAUUUAUAGUUCCAGAGGGAAGACAUCUACUUCACCUAUAUGUUUUAUUACCAUCUUUAACAAAAAAUAGGACACAUUAUUUUGAUAUCACAAUAAAACAACUGUGAACUAAUUAAUAAAUAAAGAAUUAAUCAUGCUUUUGGGUAAUAGUGGGUGGAUAAAGAAAGGUAUUUAAAGUUAUCUUUUGAUAGAUAAGUAAUUAAAACGAUACAAAAGACAACAGCAAAUACAAAAGCAAUAAAACAACAAAUUUAUACAAAACAAUCUUUCAUUGUAUUAUAUAUAUAAAUGCACAUAGGACACAGCGAUCCUAGUGAAAACCAGCACAGAUGCAAAACAAAAUAUAACUAUUUAUGACACCAUGGUCUCUGUUAUUUUCUGCAGGUUCAUGUUAAUCUUCUUAAAAUGUCUUAAUAAGUUGCACUCCUGUAAAAACAUGUAUAGACUAUGCAAUAUGCCGAAAGAACUUAAUGGAAUUUAAUUUAACUGCUAUUUAUUUGUAUUUAUAUAUUGGUAACAUCCCCAAGUUAUGACACUCUAUGAUAUGAAAUAUAGAGAUCCUACUUGGGAACCAGUCAGUAAGGAAAUGAAGUAUUUAUGAAUGUUACAUAUCUCCCCAAAAGAGACAUGGAUUGUGGAACAGCUGUAUUUAGAGAAUGUAACCUAAUAAUCAUUGCAUAUUUUGCAGUGUUCAAAAUAGAUACAAAAAAAAAUAACAUAUUAGUUUUGCAGGUUCAUAAGUAAUAUGUUGAUAGUUAAUUUGAUAAAACAGAGGUGCAACAUUGUAAACAUAGCCAUUUCUGGUUUUUUUUCUGUUGUACGAGUGUACAAUAAAGUUCUAAAUUAACCUCCAGAAACACAGGUGUUCCAUAUUUGGAUGUUAUUUUUAUAGUAUUACCUUCAUCAUGUUCAUUGUAUGAAUACUUUUAUGAUCCAAUAUUUGUUUUUGAGCAUGGCGUGUCCAGAUUAAUUGAUUAUAAAGUAUUUUUGUAUGUCCAACAAAUACAAUGCAAGUCAUUGAUGAAUAAGAAACAAAAGCAAGAGAAAAAAAAUAGAAUCAAACAAAUUUGGGUUGGAAUAAGCACAUGUGAUGGACUGAGGCCAUACAAAGCCAGAAAUAAAAGCUAAGAUGGAAAACUUUUUGUUUUAUUCAUUAUGUUUUGUUUUUAAUUUAUUAAACAGGAAGUUGCCCACAGAUUCCAGAAAGAACUCAGGAACUAUAUUAGUUGUGCCAAAGGUAACAUUAAUCUUGUAGUCAAAACUUUGACUAUUUCAGUACAAAACUCUUGUGUAUAUGGUCAAUCUUUUUAAAUCAUCACUUAUGCUCAGUGAUAGUAUUGUAGACUUGAGAGUUGUUUCCCACACUCUUGCUGUCACAUCUACCUCCUCCAUUUUGAAAAAUAAAUGAUAAACCCAUAAACAAACCCAAACCCAAAUUUUAAAGAUACAAUAUUUUUUGUCUCAAGAUGUUUGCCAGAAAGGCUAAAAAUUCUAUUCAUGACAUAUUUUUGCUACUUCUUGGUUUUUGUCGAGCCUGCAACUUUUGUUGCAGCAAGCUCGACAUAGGGAUAGUGAUCCGGCGGCGGCGGCAGUGUUAGCUCACUUCUUAAAAGCUAUAUAUUUUAGAAGGUGGAAGACCUGGAUGCUUCAUAUUUUGUAUAUAGAUGCCUCAUGUUACGAAGUUUCCGUCAGUCACAUGUCCAUUGUCCUUGACCUCAUUUUUGUCGAGCCUUCGACUUUAGUCGAAAAAGCGAGACAUAGCGAUCCUACAUUCCGUCGUCGUCGGCGUCGUCGUCGUCGGCGGCGUCCACAAAUAUUCACUCUGUGGUUAAAGUUUUUGAAAUUUUAAUAACUUUCUUAAACUAUCCUUGAAUUGUACGAAACUUUGACAGAAGCUUGUUUAUGAUCAGGAGAUAGUAUCCAGAAGUAAAUUUUGUAAAAUAAAAAUUCCACUUUUUCCGUAUUUUACUUAUAAAUGGACUUAGUUUUUUCUGCGGGGAAACAUUACAUUCACUCUGUGGUUUAAGUUUUUAAAAUUUUAAUAACUUUCUUAAACUAUCCUGGAAAUGUACAAAACUUGGCCAGAAGCUUGUUUAUGAUCAGGAGAUAGUAUCCAGAAGUAAAUUUUGUAAAAAUAAAAUUCCAUUUUUUUCCGUAUUUUACUUAUAAAUGGACUUAGUUUUUCUGCCAGGAAACAUUACAUUGACUCUGUGGUUAAAGUUUUUAAAAUUUUAAUAACUUUCUUAAACUAUCCUGGAAUUGUAAGAAACUUGGCCAGAAGCUUGUUUAUGAUCAGAAGAUAGUAUCCAGAUGCAAAUUUUGUAAAAAUAAAAUUCCAUUUUUCCCGUAUUUUACUUAUAAAUGGACUUAGUUUUUCUUCCAGCUAACAUUACAUACAGUCUGCAGUUAAAGUAUUUAAAACAUUUUUAAGAUUCUUAAACUAGCCUGGAUUUUUACCAAACUUGGACAGAAGCUUCUGACAAUCAAAAGAUAGUAUCGAGAGGAAUAAUUUUAUUGAUUUUUUUCAUUAUUUUUGAUGAGUGUGUGAUUAACAGCAAAAGUAGGCGAGACACUGGGUUCCGCGGAACCCUUACAAAUUUUAAUGGUUCAGUGACCACUUGAAAAAAAGUUCAGAUUUUUUGUAAUGUUAAAUUUUCUCUUACUGUAAGUAAUAGGAUAACUAUAUUUAGUAUGUGCAUACCUUGCAAGGUCCUCUUGCCCGUCAGACAGUUUUCACUUGACCUCGACCUCAUUUCAUGGAUCAGUGAACAAGGUAAAGUUUUGGUGGUCAAGUCCAUAUCUCAGAUACUAUAAGCAAUAGGUCUAGUAUAUUCGGUGUAUGGAAGGACUGUAAGGUGUACAUGUCUAACUGGCAGGUGUCAUCUGACCUUGACCUCAUUUUCAUGGUUCAGUGGUUAUAGUUAAGUUUUUAUACGACUGCAAAAUUUGAAAAAUUUUUCGUCGUAUAUUGCUAUCACGUUGGCGUCGUCGUCUGCGUCGUCGUCGUCCGAAUACUUUUAGUUUUCGCACUCUAACUUAAGUAAAAGUGAAUGGAAAUCUAUGAAAUUUUAACACAAGGUUUAUGACCACAAAAGGAAGGUUGGUAUUGAUUUUGGGAGUUUUGGUCCCAACAUUUUAGGAAUUAGGGGCCAAAAAGGGCCCAAAUAAGCAUUUUCUUGGUUUUCGCACUAUAACUUUAGUUUAAGUGAAUAGAAAUCUAUGAAAUUUUGACACAAGGUUUAUGACCACAAAAAGAACGGUUGGGAUUGAUUUUGGAGUUUUGUUUCAACAGUUUAGGAUUAGGGGCCAAAAAAGGGCCCAAAUAAGCAUUAUUCUUGGUUUUCGCACAAUAACUUUAGUUUAAGUAAAUAGAAAUCAAUGAAAUUUAAACACAAUGUUAAUGACUACAAAAGGAAGGUUGGUAUUGAUUUUGGGAGUUUAGGUCCCAACAGUUUAGGAAUUAGGGGCCGAAAAGGGACCCAAAUAAGCAUUUUUCUUGGUUUUCGCACCAUAACGUUAGUAUAAGUGAAUAGAAAUCUAUGAAAUUUAAACACAAGGUUUAUGACCAUAAAAGGAAGGUUGGUAUUGAUUUUGGGAGUUUUGGUCCCACAGAAUAAGAGCCCAAAGGGUCCAAAAUUAAACUUUGUUUGAUUUUAUCAAAAUUGAAUAAUUGGGGUUCUUUGAUAUGCCGAAUCUAACUGUCAUGACUGUGUAUGUAGAGUCUUAACUUUUGGUCCCGUUUUCAAAUUGGUCUACAUUAAGGUCCAAAGGGUCCAAAAUUGAACUUAGUUUGAUUUUGACAAAAAAAUGAAUCAGUUAGGUUCUUUGAUAUGCUGAAUCUAAAAAUGUACUUAGAUUCUUGAUUAUUGUCCCAGUUUUCAAGUUGGUCCAAAUCGGGGUCCAAAAUUAAACUUUGUUUGAUUUCAUCAAAAAUUGAAUAAAUGGGGUUCUUUGAUAUACCAAAUCUAACUGUGUAUGUAGAUUCUUCAUUUUUGGUCCUGUUUUCAAAUUGGUCUACACUAAAGUCCAAAGGGUCCAAAAUUAAACUUAGUCUGAUUUUAACAAAAAUUGAAAUCUUGGGGUUCUUUGAUAUGCUGAAUCCAAAAAUGUACUUAGAUUUUUAUUAUGGGCCCAGUUUUCAAGUUGGUCCAAAUCAGGAUCUAAAAUUAUUAUAUUAAGUAUUGUGCAAUAGCAAGUCUUUUCAAUUGCACAGUAUUGCGCAAUGGCAAGAAAUAUCUAAUUGCACAAUAUUGUGAAAUAGCAAAUUUUUUUUUAAUUAGAGUUAUCUUUCUUUGUCCAGAAUAGUAAGCAAGAAAUAUCUAAUUGCAAAAUAUUGUGCAAUAGCAAGAUUUUUUUUUAAUUGGAGUUAUCUUUCUUUGUCCAGAAUCAACUUAAAUCUUUGUUAUAUACAAUAUACAAUGUAUAUUCACUUUUUACUACCAACUGAUAAAUUUAAAAUAAUCUUUACCAUUUCAGUGAUAACAAGCAGUUUUUUUACAUCUUAAUAUUUUAUGAUGUAUUUAAAUGAGUAGUUAUUGUUGCAAACUCCAUUAGAAAUUUUAAUUGAGAUUAGUUUUGGAAUAAGAGAAAGGGGGAUGUGAUUAAAAAAAUUGGGUUCAAUUUUUCUCAUUUGUAAUUUCAUAAAUAAAAAAGAAAAUUUCUUCAAACAUUUUUUUGAGAGGAUUAAUAUUCAACAGCAUAGUGAAUUGCUCUAAGAGAAAACAAAAAAUUUAAGUUCAUUAGAACACAUUCAUUCUGUGUCAGAAACCUAUGCUGUGUCAACUAUUUAAUCACAAUCCAAAUUUAGAGCUGAAUCCAGCUUGAUGUUUGUGUCCAUACUUGCCCCAACCGUUCAGGGUUCAACCUCUGCGGUCGUAUAAAGCUACGCCCUGCGGAGCAUCUAGUUGUGUUUUGGUCUGUUUUUCUCAUACUUUAUGCAGUAGGUUUACUUUAUUUGUUGUAUGGAAUGAUUGUAAGGUGUACAUGUCUAGCGGGCAGAUGUCAUCUGACCUUGACCUCAUUUUCAUGGUUCAGUGGUUAUAGUUAAGUUUUUGUGUUUUGGUCUGUUUUUCUCAUACUUUAUGCAAUAGGUUUACUAUAUUUGUUGUAUGGAAUGAUUGUAAGGUGUACAUGUCUAGCGUGCAGAUGUCAUCUGACCUUGACCUCAUUUUCAUGGUUCAGUGGUCAAAGUUAAGUUUUUGAGUUUUGGUCUUUUUAUCUAAUACUAUAUGUCAUAGGUCAACUAUAUUUGGUGUAUGGAAAUAUUUUAUGAUCUAUAUGUCAGUCGUGCCGGUUUUAUUUGACCUUGACCUGGUUUUCACGGUUCAUUGCUCAGUGUUAAGUUUUUGUGUUUUGGUCUAUUUUCUUAAACUAUAAGCAAAAGGUCAACUAUAUUUGUUGUAUGGAAGCAUUAUUAGCUGUACAUGUCUGCCUGGAAUAUGGUUCAACUGACCUUGACCUCAUUUUCAUGGUUCAUGUUAAGUUUAUGUGACAGUCAUAGUAAAGCUUUAUAUUUAGGAGUAUCAACAUAAUAUCAAUGAUUAGUAAAGAAGGCGAGACAUUUCAGUGUAUGCACUCUUGUAUUCAGUAGGAGAAGUUAGCAUAUGUUGUCUUUUGAAUAAACACACGCUUGAACAUGGGAAGUAUUAGUUCUUAUUGUAUCUAAGAUGUAUUGAUCCAUAGAGUGUGGGUCAUUACAAUCCAUCUCAUUAGUAACUUAUGAUUCCUUGUUUUAGAUAAUUAAUUGUAUCUUGUUAAUCUUCAAACAGGUAAAACAGGUGUUGGCAUCAAAAGGAUAACUUCUCUGGUUUUUACCCAGAAGCAUUGAAACAUUUAAUUUUGUAUAUAAGGGUGUACUAUUGGCUAUCUGUUUUUUACCAUUUAUUUCUUGCCUAUAGGUUUUUGGAUGCGUAGAAUUAUACAUGGCGAUAGCUACUGUGGAUUGGAUAUUAUUAAUUGGGUAUCAAUUUUCAAGAAUAUAGAUAGGCAAACUACAAAUUUUUCUUUGAAGAAUUUGAAUCAAAACUUUGGCAAAACCAAGACAUCAAGUAUCAACCAAAGAAAAAUAAAUGAAUCUAUAGUACUAGUAUAUAUUAUAUAUUGGGGAAUAUUGUCCCGAGUAGAAUUUUAUAUUGCACGAGCUUGCGUGCAAUAUAUGUUCUACGAGGGACAAUAUUUCCCAAUAUUCAUGCAAUAACCCUUUUAUUGUAUAGAAAUAUAAUAUUUGCAAGUAAAAAAUUGUUUAUACUAAGAUUUUGACGUUGAUGAUGUCAUGAAUUUUGAAGAUUUAUUGCGCUAGACUGUAGUGCAAUAUUACAAUUUAUUGCACGCUAACUUUUGGAUACUUUCUGUGGGAAAUAUUAUAUUGCUAUACAAUAAAUGGUAUUCUUGUUUCCAUUGCUGAAUGAUUUGUCCUGAUCAAAUUUUCAAGAUAUUUAAGUUAUUUAUAUUGAGGUCUUAAACUGGAUUCAAUAUUCAUGAUAUUGUUUAUUUCUUUAUCAUGUUUUAGUAAUUUCCUGUUCAUUGAUUUUGAUUAUAUCGAAGCAUAUCAAUGACACUUUGUGUAUUGUGUUUCUUUUCAUCAGCAAGUGUUCUCAAUUAUAUCAGAAUGACCCUCAUGAGGUCAAGGAUAAGGUCACAAACUCCCUUCAAAUAGAAUGUAGUAAAAUUUGAAGUCAAGGAAUUUCCAACAUGAAUAUUGGUUACUACUAGUAUAGAUACUUGAAAUGAUUAUAUCUACAAUGAUCUACCUGUCAAAUAGCAUGUUAUAGAAAUGAUAAAGUGAUCAGUAUUAGGGUCAAGGUCAAAAUUUAGUUAUUUUCUAAUAUCAUGGAUUUGUUUAGUAAGUCUUACUAUACAAAUCCUUGCUAAUAUGUAGAUCAUAGUUGUCACAGAACUAUAAAAUAUUUCAGCAUGAAUCUGACUAUCAGUUAUACUGUCGAUGACCAUGAUGACCACAAUUAAGUUGGCUUGUGUUUAAAAAAAUUAAAUCUGAUUUUUCCUAGCGUGAAACCCCCAAAAAAUGGUUCUAUUUUUGUCUCAUGAUAAUCUGGUGUCCAUGUAGAUCUUUGAAAAUUGUGCAAAGCUAAGGUCAUGAAUAAGGAUAAAGUCUCAAAAAUUGAGGGGAAUGAUUUAAUGAAAACAAAAAGUGCCUUGAUUACUUUAAAGUUUUGGAUCACUAGACUAUAAUCUGCCACUGCCAAUGCAUGUAACAUAAAUUCAAUAUAGAAAUAAAAAGAUGUAGCUGCUGAUUAUCAACUAUUGAAAAACAAAGGAUAAGAAAUGGACCUUCUUCACAUCAACUAAGCAAUAAAAAGUCUAGCUGGUUAUGAAUCAUUUUGCAAAAAGGGACUGGAUAUGUGUCUGUGUUUAAAAACCUUAAAUGAAAAAAAUGAAAAGUGUUUUAAACACACUUAUAUGAUUAGUUUAUUAGAAGUGGGGACAGGAAUUAAGCAAUCAGCAAUAAAUCAAUAGAAAUUGAACGGUGUAAUAUGUAGAUAUAAUAAUCUGAUCAUUAUCUAGCUGAUAGGAAAAUUAAAUAAAAGUUCUACACACAUUUAAUUAAAAAUAUACAAAUCUUAAGGUUGUUAAAAAUACUGCUCCUUAAUUUCAGACUAAAAAGUUAACCUAUAUAUUUAUGAAUGGGUAUUAAUUUUCUUCAUUUAAAAAGACUACUAUAAAAUUUCUUCUGUCAAACUAAAGUAAAAGGCCAAGAUAGACACAUUUUAUGGUAUUUGUAGAAUAAAAUACAUUUGUUGAUUAAUGUUGACCUGAGAGCUGAAUUAAAGAAAGUUUUUUGUUUGAUUGGUGGGUAUACACUACAUGCCAACGUCUUUAUAUAUAGAUGGCAUUCAAUUUGUUAGCAACAUACAUGACAUACCGAAUUUCGCUAGAUAUAUGGUUUAAACUAAGAAUACUAAAUUUAUAAAACUGAAUUCAGUAAUUAAUCUCAUAUAAUGCACAAAAUUUUGAUAAAUUAAUGGUUCAUGAAGACAUAGUGUUGGACUUAAAUAACUAUAAGCUGAACUAAUCGUUCUGAUGGAAACAAGUGUACAGAAAUCUUACUGAAUCUAUUUGAUAUGGUUAUUUUAAGAUACAUAUGCAUGCUUCAAAAGUCUUAAAACGCUUUUAAAUUGUAAUGACUCAGAGACCAAUAUUAAAGACCCCACCCAACUCUUUAAAGAAAGCAUAUAUGGUACUCUAUUUUUAGUUUUAGACACAAUUCAGGAAGUUUCUAUUUUGAAAAUAAAUUGCAAUGCAUUUAAUUGGCCUGUUUGCACCAUUUGCCAUUUAUAAUGUAAUUGACCUUAUUAUUUGCACUACCUAUUCUGUAUAUAUGUUAGCGGCAAUAAGUGAAAUUAGGCAUUAAGCUUAAAUCCUAGGCAAUAAGCUAUUUUUUGAUUGGCCUAACUUUUGAAUUUUCUACUGAACCAAAUAACAGAUGGAAAUUCCAUUACCUAUGUAAAUAUUAUUAUGUUUCAGAUGAGUGAGUUUGAUUGUUGAAAUUUAAGAUGAUUUUAUAUACCAGUAGUGUCAGUUUAAGAAUGUGAAAUAUCUAUUUUGACUCCCUUACAAAAUAUGCAAAUUAUAUGUCACCGAUAUCUUACAACUGCUUGUGCAUUAAUUUCUAAUGGUAAUUAAACUAGGAUGGGUCUUCUUUACAUUUAAUAUCUUAGUUAUUCUGUUUUUAGCUCAGUAUAAUUUUUACUGCCAAAAUUCACCAAACCAUUUCUUUGCUAAACUGAUUUUUUUACUGUCAAAAAAGAGGAGUUUCAAUAAAUGACAGGAAAUCAAAACAACCAAUAUAAAAAAAAACCAAAAAGCAUAGAAUCAGUGCUGUUGUUAUUCUUUAAAAGUCACAUUGAGGAUUUCACUGUUCACAGUUUGCUACUGACCCCCUAUGGACCAUAGAAUUGAAGUAAAAAACAUACCUGUAAGAGAUUCAGCUGAUGGCCUCACCCCAAUGGAUUUGACUUACCCUUUAUGAAUCCAUAGGGGGUUAGUAGCAAACCAUAUAACUUAUAGUAAUAUCUGUCACUGUGUUGUUGGUGUUAUUGGUGUCCAGUCAACCUCCAACUCUUACUAGGGGCGUAGGAGGCUGAGUGGUCUAAAGGUUACAGUGCUACUACUGUAAUCACUAACCAGUCAACAUUGAGGUUGUGAGUUCAAACCCUGCUUGUGCAGCUGCACUUGACCUCCAAUCUAAAUUGACCAGUAUUGUCAGUUUUCCUAUCCAAGGUCGUGGUUUUCUCCUGGCACUCAGGUUUCCUCCACCAAUAAAAACUGGCCGCCACAUAUUAGCCCAAAAACAGUGCUUAUAAGUGGCAUUAAAACACCAAAAAUCAAAAUCAAAAUCAAUCAAUCGAAACCCAUACUGUUCAUUUCAAAAUAAGCACUCUUUCUGGGAGUGUUUGGAAAGAAUACAGAAAUAGGAAAAAAAUGAGAGGGUUGGGGAUGAGGAGUUAGUCAAAUACAAUUUGCAGUUUAUACAUAUAUGUCCCAACAUCAUUUGAGCUUCUUAAAUUACAGUGUCUAUGUUGUAUAAUAUGCAUUCCGGCUUUGUCUAUAUUGUAUAAUAUGCAUUCUAGCUUUGUCUAUAUUGUAUAAUAUGCAUUCCAGCUUUCACUUUUCAUCUUUCUUUUAUAGCCUUUUGAUAGUAAUAGGAAGAUGUGAUAUGAGUGCCAAUGAGACAAUUCUCUAUCCAAGUCACAAUUUUUAAAAGUAAACCAUCAUAGGUCAAAGUACAGUCUUCAACAGGGAGCUUAGGCCCACACCAAACAGCAAGCUAUAAAGGGCACAAAAAAUGACUAGUGUAAAAACAAUGGUCUAAUUUAUAUUAGAGAAACACUUAUGACCACAUGAAUAAACAAAACUCUUGAACAUGUAUAUGAUCCUUGCACAUGUAAACAUUAAGAUAUAACCUUGACCCCAUAUUUGUUUUAAGUUGGUGACACUCAUUAAAACCUUUUUUAAACAUUUUUAAUUAAUUUGAUGUUAUAUAUUAAUAAUAUAAACUUGUUGACAGUACAAUAUAAGGACCAAUUUCCUGAUAAUUGCACUUGAAAGAAAAUAACCACAUUUGAAACACAUAUUGCAAAUGGUUUAAACAAAGUGGUAAUUUUAUGCUCAAUUUGAAUUAACUUUAGAAUAAUACAACAUUCAAUGUGGUCUGGCAAGGCCUAACCAUAAUAAUAUUCUUGUGUAUUUUUGUGAAUCUACGGUGUUAGUUGUCUUAUUGAAAGUGCCAUGUGAUCUAAAAUAUUUGGUUCAUUUCUUUAGUCCAUUCGUUGUAUUAUAAAUCUUGCAUUUCCACAGUCUGUUUUAUUCAAAUGGCCAGGUUGAACCCAACUUUGAAAGGAUAAUGCACAUUUUUGAAUCCAGGAGUGUAGGAUUAAUGAAUAAUAAUAAAAUACAAUAUUUAUAGAGCACAUUAUAUAAUAACAACAAACUAAUUUAAGCACUUAAAAUUAUAUUCUCAUAAACUAAUUUGUACAAUUAGAGAGUUAAUUAUUUUGUACAAUAGAACAAUUAUAGUGCAAUGUUCAGUGGAUGUGGUAUUACAUAACACUAGGAAACAGUUUGUCACAAUCGGGGUACAGUAUUUGGCUUUAGUUUUUGAACAAUGAUCCUGAAAAGUUUAGACUCUAUUUUCUAAAUCUGAAUGCAAGUACAACCACUCAUCUUUUUGGGGUUUUUGUUGUUUGGUUUACGGGUUACUGUCUUGUUAAGAAAUGACAAACUAAGACCCUUGUAAAAUAGAUCGAUCUAUAGUCUAAUGUGAAUGGGAAAGAUCGAUCUUCAAUCGAUCUUAAAAAGGCCACCUCCAGAGGUAGUUAUAAAAAGAUUGAUCUUUCUUCAAGUGUAAAUGCUUAGAUCGAUCAAUUGCGAUCGAUCUUUUUUCGCAAUUUAAGGCGAAUGUUAAAUUUAUAUCUGAAAAUAAAUCUGUGCAUGUAUGGUGGCAAUAUCAAACAUGUUUAAAAACCAUGGAUGGAAUAAGAAAAGUAAACAUAGAUUCUGCUGUUUUUGUAUUAUCUUCUAAAUCAAUGAGUUCUAUUUCUUUACUGCAAAUCAUCAUCUUCAAACGCAUUGACCGUUCAUUUUUUAGCGAUAGUCUACACACAUUGUUGCGGGAGACAUAGAAAUGCUGGGGAUCCAUAUGUCUGUGCAUCGGAUCUUGUAAGCACUCUAACAUGUACAAUUCUUGCCAGAUUUUAUGAAACUUAUAUCAUAGGUUUAUAUCAGUAUGGUCUUAAAUAAGUUUGAAAAUCAGACCAAUCAAUUAUUGUUUAAAAAGUAACAACACUUUAUAUUAAAGUGCAUGAUGCAACCAGAAAGUAAUGUUAAACAUUUGCAAUACAUGAAUGUCAUUUUAAAACCAGCAGGCAAUGCAUUUACAUCUCAUACAUGUAGUAGUUAUUGAAUACAUGUAAAAUUAGUAUUUUAUUUCAACUCUCUAAUCUCUUCCGAAAUAUUUUCACUAAAAAUUAUCAUAAUUUGUAUUCAGAAAAGUUAAAAUUUAUACUUAGGGCAUUCAUGACACAGUUUGACAGUUAUUUAUGUCAUCCUGUCCUACACUUUUGACAACAGUUUCAUAAAUUAAAUUUUUUAAACAAGGCAAAUAAACAAAAAAACAAGAUUUUUAAACUUGACAAGAUAAGUUUUAGUAAGAACAUACCACCAAAUAAGUAAACAAUACAUUGAUCUUUGACAUUUUUGUAAAAAGACAAUUUAUGCACUGAUACACAGAGGUAUGUCUUACGGCAGAGCAUCUUCAGUAUUAAAUUCUUAAGUGUAUUGUCUUGUUUAUGUUAAAUCAUGUAUGUAAAUACAUUGUACACCUGAUGUUUUUCAUAACUUAUGCCUAGGGCAGAAUGGCUUACUUUUUAUUUUGUUAUGUAGUGUUAGGUCAGCAAUUAUUAUUGAUGGUGUAGAAUGGCUAUAAAAGGAAAUUUGAUGAGUGGUCAAUUUAUUAAUCAGUUUUACAAUAUUAAUAUAAAUUCCACUGUACUUGAUUGUGCAUGUCCACUUGUGAACCCACUUUAUUUUUUUUUGAAGUACACACUGAUUUGCUGGCCCCUUUGCAGUUUCCAUUUAUUUGUUGGUCCAGUUAGCAGUUCCACUGCUUUGCAGCAUGCAUUUAUUUGUUGAACCACUUUGAUAGCAGCAUAUACCUACUGAUUUGCUGCCGGUUUUGCAGUACCCAUUUAUUUGUUGGCCCACUUUGCAGUACCCACUGAUUAUUUGGCCCACUUAUUUGUUGAGCUUCUAGCAGUACCCUCUUAUCUAUUGGCCCGUUUUGAGUUCAAGCAGAAUGUAGCAGUACAAUUGAAAAAAUUAUCAAUUUAUAAAAUUGAAAGUUGUCCUGUGAGAAACUGAAACUUGGCUUUUGCAAUUAAAUUGUUUCAAAUUAUUUCCCUUUUUCUUUAAUUUACAAUUUUUAAUCCACUAUGAAAUAAAUAGGACAUAAUAGACAAAAAAAUAAUAUUUUACAAAAACAUAAUAUUCUUUAAUUAUGAUUAUGCAUGUAAAAUUCCCCUUUGUAAAUCCAGAAAAUUGAUUUGGAUGCACAAAAUUUAUAGAGUGCUAAUUUGGUAUAACAGCUAGCUAUAUAUAUAGGUACAUGUGAUUCACACUCAAUUGUUUUGAAUAAUCUAUUGUUUAGUGUUUGCUGAUACAUUUCAUGCAUAUAAUUAAUCAUUGACAAAUUUUACAUGAUAAAUCCUUAUAAUUAAACAUCGCCAUCCUCCUCUCAUAAAGAAAUACAGUCAGAUAGGACCAUUCUCAUUUUGAACUAAAUAUGGAAAAGUCGACAAAUAGUUGCAGAUUUUAGUCUUAUUCUUUCUCAAAUUUAUGAAUUUUUUUUAUUGUUGUGUUCAAACAUGAUUUUAUAAGAUUUUCAAAUAUGACAUUUUAAACUAUAUGUAAUCAAGUUAUAAAAAGACAAGUAGGGGUUAGUAGGCUUGGACUGAUAAAGUGACAGGAUUCUGAAUGUCUGGAAAAAUUUUAAAAAACAAGAGGAGCUCUUAGCAAACAUCCUUAGCCAUGUUAUAAUCAUAGCUUUUCACCAAAAAAAAACUAAACAUAAAAAAAAUAAAAAUAUUCUCAGAAGCUAAUGAUUGAUUUUGUAUAACCUACAAUACUACUUCUUGUAAUACAUAUAUCCAAAGUACUCAUGGUACUCAACCUCUCCAAACUCCUAUUGUUUGAAAUAAGUUUUAUAGAUUUAUCUAUCUUUUUCAGCUAUGGACAUAGCAUCAAAGUCAUUUUAUAAUGUGAUGAAAGAAACAUAUGAACCAGAAUGGAAAGAGGAAGACAAACUCAAGGAAACAAUACAGGUAAGGUCAAGAUCUAGCACAAGUAUUUAUGGCAGAAUUAAAUCUUUUUUGAAAUAAUUAGAUAAUAGCAAAGUUCUCAAGGAAUCAUGACAGAAGAAUGAAGUGUUGUUGUUGCAAGACUCUCUAUAAAAUAAUGAAUGGUUAAAUCAAAUAAUACAUUCUGUAGUCCUAGUCAAAUUUGCUUUGUGUAUCAAUGGGACAGCCUUUUAUAGCUGAGUUUUCCUCUAUUUAUCUACAUUAUUUUAAGAUGUGUUUUAUAUUGAUUAAUUGACUGAUGGGUGCUCAUGGUUCAGUGGGGAGUAUUUCAUGCAUGUACAGGCCCACACAAACUAACAAAUAAUACAACUGGUAGGUCCUGUAAUAAAAAUUAAAUAGGGUCUUCUUGAGGAGAGAUAUGGAAAAUGGCAUUAGAUUUGACAUCCCCAUCAUAAGAAGACAAAGAGUGACCAUAUUUCUAUUCUCCAGUCACCCUUAGGGGUAAGUGUUUAUAAGGCAAUGGAUUAAUAUAUGUCUGUUUAAAGUCUAUGCCUACCAUGCCAACUGUAACUUAGUUUUUGUGAUCUUUUGUGACUAUUUUGGAGUUCAGUAAAGUACCUGUGACUAUUUUCACAAAAAAUCUGUCAAGGAAAAUACUUGUAAGUCAUAAACAUAACAUUAUGGCUUAUGAUAAAGUUUUGUUUUGAACCCAGGACCCCUGACAAAGCAAGCCAACAAUCUAUUAGUUGAGAUGAGGAGUACUCCACUGGCACAACUAAUGGAGAGUGGUUAUAUGUCAACUAGGUCGUGGGCAGUGUCAGUUCACUCUGUACACUGCUCCAGUAUCAAAAGUCAUUAUACAUUAAGGAUUAUAUUCAACCUUAAUCCAAUACUAAACUCAUUUUAUCUUUUUUAUUCCCAAGUGUGUUUGCACCUGGGAUGUCAAUAGUAUAGUAACAAUAUAUCUUGGCAUUCUAACCAAGAUUUACUACCAUACCUGUCUGGGUUCAAAUCAUUGACCCCUAGCACAGUAAGUUUUUCCUAUCCUGUUUCUGUACUUAAUAUGCAUGUAUAUUACAUGUAACCUUAUACAUGUACAUACAUUUUUAUUGGCCCAAUCUUUUUAAAGUUCUAUACAUAUUGUUUUUGUUUUUCAGUCUUUAGAAUUAAUGUGGACAGACUACUUAGAGCAUCUAACAGAAUCUGUACAGAAUCCAUUAUCUACAUACACAAAUCAUUUUCAACCAUUAAAGGUAAGUUUUUGGUACAACUGUACUUGGUUUGAAGAAUAAUCACAAGGUAUUUGUGUCUGUCUGGCUGGGUUUCAUGUAAACAUGACCUCAAUUCAUGGUUCAGUUAUCAACCUUUAGUUUUCAUGAAUUGAUCCAAUUCUUAGAUUACUGGCUGUAAAGACAAUGGUAAUGUGUAGAGAUCUGCCUGACAGCAAAAUCAUUGCAAGAUUCACAUAUAAAAAUCAGAAAAUAUGGUAGAGACAACUUUCCACAAAUAUUAAAAUGAAUUGGAUAUAAGCAAUUAUAGUCAACCCUACAGGGUUCAACAAUGAGAAAACCCAUGGCGUAUAGUCGAAAAACAAAUAUAAAGACAUGAAUAAAUGACAACCACUGAACUACUCCUUACUAUGGACAGACACAUAAGGAAUAGACUGGUAUUAAAACUUAAAACAUGUUCGAAAGCACAAACCUACCCCUGACCUGGAUCAUAGUGUAACAGCACAAACUAUGUAAACAAUAUAUGAAAAACAAAUAUGAGAAACAGCAAAAAAACACCAUGUUUGAAGGCGACACCUAUUUUUUUUAAGAAUAAAUAAAGAUAUAAAUGGGUUUUUGUCUAAGUAAAAAAAGAUACAUGAGUCAUAACACAGCGAAAAAAAUACCCCACCCGGAGAUGUCUUCAGCUGGCCCCUUAACAAAAAUGUGUAAUAGUUCAGUGAUAAUGGACGUCAUUAUAGAAAUAUUUAAUAUGUGUCCAAGAAUGAAUAGAGUUGUGGGUGAAUCGUCAAAGAUAUUGCAGCUGGAUGACAAUAUUAAUUCUCCUUCCUAAAAAAUAGCAGGAUAAACAUUAAACUACAAGUACUACACAUGCAAUUGUGAUACCUUGAAUUUAACAUGGAUAUUUUUUUCUGCUGUUGUUUUUUUCUAUGGUCGGGCUGUUGUCUCUUUGGCACAUUCCCCAUUUCCAUUCUCAAUUUUAUAGUAUAACAUCAAUGAUCUAAUUGCUUAUCAACUUUUUCUUACAGCAAAGAAUAGCCAAACGAAACAGAAAAUUAGAUUAUUUUGACAAUGCUCGACAUAAUGCUGAAGUACUGCAGAGUGCGAAGAAAAAAGAUGAUGUCAAAAUUACAAAGGUCAGUAUCAAUCUCUGUCUUACCUCCUUCUAAAGUCUAAACCUCCUUCUAAAGUCUAAACUUGAGGGAAAUGUGCAUGAAAGAAAAGUUUGGUAUCUUUUUUUCAAUGCAAAUAUAGUGUGCUCUAGAUCCCAAAAAAAUUAUUUGGAAGAUGUUUUUACUGUUUAAUAAAAAAGAAGACGGGCACAUGAUUUUCAGGGUUAAACAUGUAAGGGGGAUCUCUUCAUUUCAUUGCCUGAAACAAUUGGCUUGUGGAUAAUGUGUUGAAAGUUUCUCAAAUCAUUAUUCAUAGUUGACUGGCAAAUUUCUUCCAAAUCUGUAUGUUGUCUCAUGUAAAAAAAAUACAAACAAAACCUUUUCAUGUUGUAGUUCAAAACUUUAGAAAAAAAAUAGAACUGUUGAAAAAUUGAAUUGUACAAUUGUUUCAUAAUAGUUGGUUAAAAUUUCGCAAUCUUUAUUUACAGGCAAAUGAAGAGCUAGAAGAAUCAAAAAGAAUCUAUGAAGUUUUAAACAAUGAACUACACAAUGAAUUACCAGAGUUUCAUAAUAGGUGUGUUCUGUUAGGUGAUAUCAGAUACCUUGAAUUCACUAUUGCAUGUUGGGGUACUCCUUUUUGUAAGGGAAAGGGCAGAUAACAAAUUUAGUUGUUUAAUGAAACCAACAUUUUCUAUAUGAUUGUAUGAAAACUUCGACAAAAACAGGAAAUCAGAUAUCGAAGAAAAUAGAAGUUUUCCUUAAUCCAUUGAAAUUGUUCCAAAAAAAAUUGAAUUCAUUGUAUACUUUCUCUUUUUUAUGAAAGAUCAUAUUUUUUGUUUUUAUCAAAAUGCUAUAUGCAUAUUCUGCCCAAUAGCUUAGUUACAGCAAUAUUUUUGAAGAAAUAUGCUGAACACAUAUUUGUUAUAACUGAAGUAUUCAAGAGAGGAAUCUGUAUUAUGAUAUUCUUACUUUGACUUGAAUUGAAUUUAAUACCCAAUAUGAACAAUUGGCAAUUGUCCUAUUAUGAUUUUUAGUUAACACUUUUAGUUUUUAUUUUUAAUUAGUUAGAAAAUAUUUGACUCUAUUUUUAAAUAACAUUCUUUUGUUUCAGUCGAGUCAACUUCUAUGCAACAACAUUCAAAAGUUAUUUUAAUGCUGAGAGUACAUUCCAUGGUGAAACUGCCAAGGUAAGUCAAGGUUGGAUAUGCUUAAAGUAGGGACAACCUAAUUUUCAAAACUGAACACAGAUUGAUUUGAAUCAAAUUACUAUAUGUUUAACUUGAUUUAAUUUGUUUGAUAUAAAUUUAUACAGUUAAUAAAAGCAUCACAUUAAAAAAAUUAGUUAUGAAUUAAAUAUUAAAAUGAAAUGUGUAGUUUCAUUACUUGAUUUUACAUGGAAAGGAAGGCAGACAGUUAAUAAUCAAAGCAAUAAUUAUAAACACUGACUGUCGUCUGUUGGCCUUGGGCUGUUUUCUGCAGUUUGAUCAGGUUGUUGUCUGUUUGACACAUUCCCCAUUUCCAUACUCAAUUUUGAUCUGUUAUAAAAGUUAAAUUAAGAAGGGAAACAGACUUUCAAGUGGUUUCAGUGUACCUGUUUUAGGGUGAGGAUUAUAAAGAACAUAUUAUAACUCUCAUUUAGCAUAAAAAUAAAAAUGUUUUACAGAAGGUUUAAUGGUGGGUUACUCCUGGUCACACUUUGUUCAGUUUAUUCUUAUAUUUUUACCCUGAUCCGUGUCUUAUAGGGUUGUAUCAGAAUGUUUCAAAAUGAGGUUGUUAUACAGCCUUCAAAUUUUACAGCUAUAUCUAUUCACUAUUUUCAAAAUUGAACGGUCAAGUGACACAGCUGUAUCCAAUUCUAUUCUAUCUUGUUUACCCCUGUGGUAAAAUUAAUCAGUUCAGUUGUCAAAAAAAAAUCAAACAAGUUUUGCAUUAUUUAUUUUGGACAGUUCACAUUUCCUAAAUUAUUCUUUUUUGCAGAUGCUGAACUAUAAGAAGGUUAAAAGUAAAAUAGAAACAAAAAACUAUAUUGAAUAUGCAUGCAUUUUUAGAAUCAGUACACAUUUAAUAUUAUUAGCUAUUUUAUUAUAUUAUUUACAGUGAUUUCAGAAUGACUUCUGAUUAAUUUAUGAAUAAAUUUUUAAUGUAUCCAGGUAUUUGUCACUGGUAUAUAUAUGAAUUACAAAUAUAAUAGGAUCUUAGGUGUACUUAUUAUAUCUUUUUUAAACAAUUGAAAAUUAUAUUUGACAAUUACUACUUAUAUAAUCUAUUCAGAUGACUAGGCCAUAUUAAAAUAAUGAGAUGUGGUAUGAUUGUCAAGAAGAUGGCUAACGAUUAAAGACCUAGACGUUAGCAACUAUAGACCACCAUACUGCCUUCAACAAUGAUUAAAACUCAUACUGCAUCGCAGACUAUAAAAGGUCUGUACAUGACAAAGUGUAAAACAAUUCCAGCUAUAAAAAGUCAAUCCUGAUUUGUAUUCAAAAGAAAUAAUAAACCAAAAAUAUGAUAUACAACAACAAAUGUCAACAACAGAAUUACAGGUUCACAAAAGAUAGUUUAAUGCCCAUUACAUCCAAUAAAAAAGAUGUAUUGUGGAAUCAUUAUCAUUAUAUUCUUCUGCAAUCUAAAGAAACCAAGACCAUAAAAAAGAAUAGGUUUGUUUGCCCAAACGCUACCUACCCAGAAAAAAGCUGCCUACUCAAAUUCUUUUAUUGUUCUGAUUUGAAUAAGUUUUUUUUUAAUCAGAUAGGCAUGAAGACUAAUAAACAUCCGAUACGUAAAUUUCUUUAAAAAAAAAAAAUUAAAAAAAUGCCUACCUCCCUACCCACUUUCUUAACCUUGGGUAGGGUUUGGGCAAACCAAAAUAUUUUUAAUUGUGGCCCUAUUUGGAUUGAUUUCCUGGGUAUAGGUUACCCUAAAAUUUUAAUGUUCAACAUAGUGUAAACUUUCUAUGGAAAAACAACAAAAUAAAAUGUCCGUGAAAAUGCCAUAUAAAGAAUCAGAAUCCAUAAAAAUAAAUGAAUGCAAAGCAUCCAAUAUAAAAAAGAAGAUGCGGUAUGAUUGCCAAUGAGACAACUAUCUACAAAAGACCAAAAUGACAGAGACAUUAACAACUAUAGGUCACUGUACGGCCUUCGACAAUGAGCAAAGCCCAUACCACAUAGUCAGCUAUAAAGGCAAAACAUUGUUAAUCUAUCUUUAUAAAUAAAAUCUAAGUAACAAGGCUGUAUGGAAUACUUAACAACAUGUUUAUUUAUACCUUCCUAUUUUACAGCUUAGUGAUACACUUAUGUCCAUCACUGAAACAUUAGCAGAGGAGCAUAAACAAUACACAUACCAACCACGACCUCUUAGUGGAAUUAUGGCUAACGAGUAAGUAUUCACAUCCCAAUACCUAUAAAAGUAAUAAUUAGUCAGCCUCAUACCCAUAUAUCAUCUAUAGCCUCAGAAAUGAUAAUUAUAUCAAUACAUAGAUUUUAAACGCUUUCAUCCAUACAUUCAAAAUAAUCCGUUGAUUGGAUGAAUAAAUGUGCAAGUACAUUUACUCAACCUUACACACAUAUGAUAUAUCAUCCACAGCUUUGAAUGCAGAAAUGACAAAUAAGUUAGUUGUUAGGUAGAGAUUUUAUAGAUUAUCGUUGAUCAUUUCAACGAGAUUGAUUUUUUCGCUUGAGCCAGUACGGGGAAAGUGAGAAAAGCAAUCUAGUUGAGAUGACCAAUGAUAAUCUGUUUAUUGCUAUUUUGACGACGUUCAUUGUUAAUUUCAUUAGCAACGCCACUUGCCCCCUUAGUUUCUAGUGAUAAUUUUUCAUAUCACUCGACUCCAUUGAGAAAGAAAAUUAUCAUUCAGCAAGAUCAAAGGAAUGUUUCAUAAGAUAGCGAUAAUAAUUGAUCUCUUGUAGAAAUUACUAUUACAGAAAAUAUUGAACAUAUUUAGUUGUAAAAACAUUACAGAAUCUCUCAUAAUUUUAGUGGAUAAAGUUAUAAAUGUUAUUUAGAUGAGCUAUUCAGCUUCAUAGUAAUGAGUAUCAAAUCUGCAGAAAGCAAAUUCAGUAAACAUCCAUUAUAACAGUUUCAUAUAUAUAUAUAUACAUUGUAGUCUUUGUAAUGUUUCAUAAUAAAUAUCAUAUAAUAUAAUAGUUGUUAUUUUCUUUGCAUACUACAGUGUUCUCCCCAGAAAUUUUGGAUAGCAUCACAUUUUGCGUAAAAAAAAUAACUGUAUUUUUUUUAAUGUCGUUUGUCGCGUCGCGUUGAUGCUCUAUUUCCUUUAUAUGUUUUAGUUUAUAUUGUUCAAUUCAUAACUGAGAAUACAAUUAAACUAUAACCACAAAAACAGUUGUUUCAGUUUAUGUUUUCUUUAUUCAUUUAUAGUUACAGAAUUAUUUUUUUCCUCUUGUGCCAAAUAAAAAUAAAUAUGUGGUUUCAGUUACCCAACAAUAAGUCAAAUGAAUGAAUGGUUCAUUAUAGAUCAACCUGUUUAUAUACAAAACUAAAUAUCUAGUACACAAAAUUAACUAUUUUUUAUAUUAUAUCAAGUAAAGAUAAAGUAGCAAAAGUAGCAAAAAAAAUCAAUUUAAAAACUUUUUUUUAUCAUGUUUAUGAAAUUCAUUGUUUCAUGGCACUCAAUGAAUUAGUCCCAGUUGUUUCUUAUCUUUACAUCAAAAUGAUAUGUAUUUUUAACAAAGUUAUCUAACAAAUAGUCUGUUAAUGCGUAGUUUUCUCUCUUGGUAUAUUUUUUCUGUCUACUGUCCAUCUGUUGUCAUUAUCGUGAAAAUGCGGAUUUUUGUCAUAUCUGGUCCGGUUCCGAUCCGCAGUUUACACAAAAAUGUGCAAUGGCGGCCGUAGAAAAAUUUACGAAAAUGAGUCCGAGAAUAAACAUUGUUUGACAAGAGAUUGUGAAUGAAUAAGACGCUUUUAAUGCAUUAAAUGGAUUAAACAUAAACUUAAGCCAAUUAUGAUAACUUUUUAAAGAAGUAUUAAACUUAGUUUAGCUCUAAACCAAAAUUCUCGCUCUCGUAUUACCGGAAGAGAAAGAAAGUAAUUUUUGGAGAGAUGCACAAAUAAACGACCUUUUUAAAAAAAAAAAAUCGUUUCAAUCUUUGAAAUUUCGUAAUACAAAACGUAGAUUUCGAAUUGUUUUUGUGAUUGCAUUUUUCCAUGUCGAAAUUGGUGAUUGCAGACACGUGGUAUUAGUCAUGUCACAAGUGUCAGCUUGGGAUAUUCGCAUCCAAACAGUUAUCACCCUGAGGGCAAUUAACACCUAGCUAUUUAAUCUCUUAAUUGCCUUUAGUGUCCGACUUAAAGGGAUUACAAUUAAAGGUGAUAUAAUUUUUAUGAUCAUAAUCGAUAAUAGAUGAAAGUUCAAAUUGAGGACAAGUAAAAUAUCAUCUUCAAAAUAAUUAUAGCGUCGCGGGAAUUAUUAUAGCAUCACGGUGAAAAAAUAUAGCGUCGCGGUACCGCGACGCUAAAACGGCCUGGGGAGAACACUGAUACUAGUUUUUAAAUUUAUGCACAUCCAAAUGGGGACUUUUAUGCCACUUGUUUAUUAGCUUUGAACUUAACUGCCUGUCAAAAGAUGACAUAUAAUUUAACAUUACAGUUAGGUUACAGCUCUUCUACAGUGUUACAUUUCCCCAUUAGUUUUGAAAAGCUACCGGAUCAUUGGUAUCAAUCUAACAUGGUAUUCACUAAAUACAGAUAUACCAUUUAGUUGGAGCCCAGAAAUAGUCGUUGACCAAGUCCUACCACAAUUUUACAACUGAAAAUUUGUAAAGCAAGACUUCAACCCAAAUCACUUUUAUUCAUAUUUUUACAAUCAUUUUUUGCAGUAGAUUUGAUGUCAUUGAUUUCAAAAGUAUAUAUUUGAUUUGUUAUUUCAGUAUGAGAUUUUCUUUCUUUAUGUAAGUUGGAUUCUGAAGUUACUGGUUUAAUGUUUUUCUUUGUUAUAUUAAGUAACAAAUAUACGUAUUUACACUUUUGGAAUUUAGCUGUAUUUUGCCUCCAAAUGACCUUAUAUCACCUCGGAAUAACCUUUUGACGUCAAGCAACAAUCACUUUUUAGUUGUGACGUCAAAUAUUUUGAAUUAUGAAGUCAAAGUUUACUGGAACCUGUCUGAUGUUAUGUAAUGGCUGACAAAUUUGCAUACAAGUGUAAAUACGUCUAUUGUAUUGCAAUUAAGUUCUUCACAUCAUAUGCAUUUUCAGCAAGUUUUUUUUAACAUUCUCAUACUAAUAUAGCAUGACAUGUUUUCUAAUGAUUUGUUUUUACUUUAAUAGGUUACAGGUCAACAUUUAUUUUACUCAAGUUCACUCUUUUUUCCUAGAAGUUUCAUUCUUGAUAAAACAAUAUAAUGAAUCAUUUUAGCAUGAAUUUUUUUUUGCAUUCUCGUAUUAUUAUGGCAUCUUUGAAAACAAGUAAAAAAUGAAUUAAUAACUUUGAUUGCAAAUUCUGAUAUUGUAAAGGCUGUUUAUUGACUUGAUUAAAAUGCAACUAAUACCUUAAUAUUGAAACUGAAAAUUUGCAGAAAUUCAGUAAAGUGGCCUUUAUUUUGAAUGCUAGUGUAUUUAUUCCUAAUUAUGAAGCAAAUGAAUAAUAGACAGCUGGGAUAUAACUCAACAUUAGAAAUUGCAAUGCCAAUAAAAAACUGAAAUUGAAAUGCAACUCAAAACAAGACAUGGAAAUACACAUUGAUAACAGACAUGGAAAUACACAUGAAUAACAGACAUGGAAAUACACAUGAAUAACAGACAUGGAAAUAGUCCGAAAUACACAUGAAUAACAGACAUGAACAACAACAGAAUAACACAUGAAUAACAAACAUGGAAAUACACAUUGAUAACAGACAUGAAAAUACACAUGAAUAACAGACAUGAAAAUACACAUGAAUAACAGACAUGGAAAUACACAAAUAACAUGAAUAACAGACAUGGAAGUACACAUGAAUAACAGACAUGGAAAUACACAUGAAUAACAGACAUGGAAAUACACAUUGAUAACAGACAUGAAAAUACACAUGAAUAACAGACAUGGAUGAAUAACAGACAUGGAAGUAGUCAGAAAUACACAUGAAUAACAGACAUGGAAAUACACAUGAAUAACAGACAUGGAAAUACACAUGAAUAACAGACUUGGAAAUACACAUUGAUAACAGACAUGGAAAUACACAUGAAUAACAGACAUGGAAUAACAUGAAACAACAUGGAAAUACACAUGAAUAACAGACACCAUUGAUAACAGACAUGGAAAUAACAGACAUGGAAAUACACAUGAAUAACAGACAUGGAAAUACACAUUGAUAACAGACAUGGAAAUACACAUGAAUACCAGACAUGGAAAUACACAUUGAUAACAGACAAGAAAAUACACAUUGAUAACAGACGUGAAAAAAUGCAUUAAUUACAGACAUGUAAACCAUGUUAAUAAUAAGACAUUGCAAAUUACACCACAAAUGAAUAAUCACAUUAACGUUUGAAGCUACCAUUUAGUUAGUUAAGAAAGAAAAAAAAACAUGGUAUAGAGAAAUUUAUCUUAACAAAAUCUUUAGGCUUAUUUUAAUCUUUUGAUUAGCCAAAGAAUUUCAAAGUAAUUCUAUAAAUUAUUUGAUUGUAUUUGUCUUAACAGAGAACCUGUAGUGAAUGGACACAGUAGUGGUGACAAUGAUUCAAACCAUUCCAGCCAACAAACAAUAAGUAAAAAGACAUCACCAAAACCAGAUCGUCCACCCUCCUCCCCAGCAGUUGCACCACAUGAUACUUCAAUAGUAACACAUGAGACCUCAGCGGCCACACCUGACCUCUCGGUGGCAACCCCUGACACUUCUUUUGCAACAGCUGCCAGCACAGCGACAACUCCUAUAAAGACAAAUGGUGAAGGACUGACAAAUGGAUUGUCUUCAGAGCCUGAAAGUCCGCCAGAAAGUAUGUUAUAACUUAACUUAUUAAAUAUAAAGUUUAAUGUAUUAUUUUUGAGUUGACAGUUAUUGGAGAAGAGUUAAAGAUAUGUGAAAGUUCAUUCUUCACGAGAAUACUUUUUCUAAAUUAAAAGUUUGAAGCCAGGAAAUUUCUCCUGUAUCAUUUGUUCACUUUUUAAUCUGCAAAAGAAAUGCUAUUUUUUUAAGGUAAAAUUUGAAAAAUAAAAAGCAGUACGGAAAUGUAUAGUUAAAGAUUAUUAUAUUUUAUGGAACUGUUUACAGGUCCUAAGACACCUGAGCCUCAACCUGAGGCUCCUAAGCCUCAACCUGAGGCCCCUAAACCUCAACCUGAGGUUGUGAAGAAAGGUAUAGGAAUAUCAUCUCAAUUACCCAUCAUUCAUUUAACACCAUAGCCUAGGAUCCUGGUUUACUGCUUUGCAACUACUAGCAACAGAAGCAGAUAAUUGAUCAGGAUCCCAGGCUAAUAACAUCUUAACCUCAACAUUGCAGCAAAGACCCUUAUUAUGUAUUACCUUAGCAACCAUUGUACAUUUUUUCAAUUACAUAACUGAUUCAUUAGUAUUCAAACUACAUUUUUUGUGAUAAACAAUGGUUCAAUAAUACCAAGACAUCAAUUUUCUGCUUUGGAUUUGUUGGGGGGGGGGGGGAUUUGAUAUUUUUCAUUUUUAACUGGAUUUUUGUGACAAAAAUGUCGGUUAUUGAUUUGGGGAUGUACGGCGGCCGGGCGGCCGGGCAGUCGGGCAGUCGGGCAGUCGGGGCCGGGCGUCGGCGGGCGGCAAUCAAAUGUUGUCCGUGCAUUAAUCAUGACCGUUCAGCCAAAGCUUUUAAAAUUUUAAAAUAAUGUUGUUACUUGACACUAAAUGAAGGUCAAGUUCAAUAAUGACGAUUUUGACUUUUACCGUCAGGAGUUAUGGUUCUUGAAAGAUUGAAAAAUAGAGUUUUCAGUCGUGUGUCCGUGCAUUACGCAUGAACUGUUCUACCAAAGCUUCCAAUUUUAAUAUGUUGUUACUGAUGACAAAAGGAGGUCAAGUUCAAUAAUUGACGAUUUUGACCUUUAACCGUUCAGAGUUAUGGUUCUUGAAAGAUUGAAAAAUGGAGUUUCCAGUUGUGUCCGUGCAUUUACGCAUUAACUGUUCUACCAAAGCUUCCCAAAUUUUAAUAUGUUGUGACUGAUGACAAAAUAGAGGUCAAGUUAAUAUAUGACGAUUUGACUUCACCGUUCAGGAUAUGGUUCUUGAAGAUUGAAAAAUGGUGUUUCCAGUCGUGUCCCGUGCAUUUUCUCAUGAACCAUUCAACCAAAGCUUUUGAAAUUUUUAUAUGUUGUUACUGAUGACAAAAUAGAGGUCAAGUUCAAUAAUGACGAUUUUGACUUUUACGUUCAGCGUUAUGGUUCUUGAAAGAUUGUAAAAUGGCCUUUCCAUUCACGUUGUUGCAUUUGCUCAUGAACCAUUCAAUCUAAGCUUUUCAAAUUUUAAUAUGUUGAUACUGAUGACAAAAUGGAGGUCAAAUUUGAUAUUGACGAUUUUCACUUUCACCAUUCAUCAGUAAUGGUUCUUGUGAUAUUGCCAGGACACAAAUAAAUAUUAAUAAAUCCGGUUUGCUGUCGUUGUGACAGCCUCUUGUUUUUCAUUUAUUUCAUUUACUAUUAAAUUAAAGGGUUGCUAAGAAAGGUACACAAGCUUUAAUGGUGGCAAACAUUAUACAUAUUAGUUAGUGGAUGUUAUAGGUACCAGUGUCUAUUCUAGGGAACAUUGAUAGUUAGAGGAUGUUAUAGGUACCAGUUUCUAUGAGAGAGAAUAUGCACCCUGAUUUCACAACUGUUAUUUUAUUUUAUCUUCCUGUAUUUUUUUUUUUUUGAAUCAUCAUUAUUAUAAACUAUAAAAAUCAGUAGAAUUACAUGUUUAUUUCCUAAUGGCAGAUCAUGUAAUUCAAGAAGAAAGAGCAAUUUUGUACAAGAAAAUCCAAAAUCACAAUAGAAAUAAAAAAAAUAAAGAAUAGAAAUAGGAAUACUUUGUUAGGUAGGCCCCUGUCCAAACAUUAAGAACAUUAACCCUUUUUAGAUACAUAGUUCUUUAACUACAUGUAGCUGUAAUCACUGGAAUGACAAUUUCUUCUUCUUUCAAAACAAGUAAUAAGAAAUCUUGAUAUAUUAACAUUUUCAGACUCUCUCUUCAUCAAACACAUAAACUGGUUUCUUUGAAACAUAAGGGAGGGGAGAUUUUAACAUUCAAUACAUGCUUCCUCUAAAAUUUCUUUCCUUUUCAUAUGCAGUGCAUUUCAUAAAAUAAUGAAACUCCUCUUCAACCUGCAUAUUUUUGCACUGCCUACAAAAUUUUUAAUCUUUAUAACUAUGUGAACAGCACAGUUUUAUUCCAAAUACUGAUGAUUGAUUUCAUUUAAUUUGCUUUAAUGCCACUGUCAGUUCUCUCAUUUCUGUGUAAUAUUACUGCAGUUCUAGCAUUGGUAAAAUAAGAGUAAAGAUAUCUUCAUUAAUUGACACUUGGCAUCAUGGUACAAAGAUAAAACUAGAAAUAUAAACAAAGUAGUAAUUGUUGUUUGUAUGUAGAGCAUGUGCUGUAGAGGUCAUUAUCUAGGAUGAUGGUAAUGGUGUACUAUUCCAACACUGUAUAUUUUAACAUAGGCAAUUACUUAUAAUAAGUUGUGCUGUUCUAAAACAGAUCCUUAAUUUUCCUAUUGUAAAUGCACAGAAAGAAAAUAUUCUAUUGCUUCAUUUUUUGAUCAGGAUUUUUUUUUAACAUUACAAUUAAGCAUUUUUCUAUUGAAUUUUAAUAUCAAUCAUUACAUCAUAAUGAAAUGGUUACUGAUAUUCUGUUAAAAACAUAAUUCAUUCAGAAUUUUCUGAAAAUAUAGAACAAAAGAAACACAGCUGAAAAAAAUAAAAAAAAAUUAGGUAUUUAAACAUUUGAGAGAAAUUUUGAAAAGGAAUGUAUAUAUAUUAAUAGUUUUUUAUUCAACUUUUUUAUACGACCGCAAAAAUUUUAAUUUUUCGUCGUAUAUUGCUAUCACGUUGGCGUUGUCGUCUGCGUCGUCGUCGUCGUCGUCCGAAUAUUUUUAGUUUUCGCACUCUAACUUUAGUAAAAGUGAAUAGAAAUCUAUGAAAUUUUAACACAAGGUUUAUGACCACAAAAGGAAGGUUGGGAUUGAUUUUGGAGUUUUGAUCCCAACAUUUUAGGAAUUAGGGGCCAAAAAGGGCCCAAAUAAGCAUUUUCUUGGUUUUCGCACAAUAACUUAAGUUCUAAGUAAAUAGAAAUCUAUGAAAUUUUGACACAAGGUUUAUGACCACAAAAGGAAGGUUGGGAUUGAUUUUGGGAGUUUUGGUUCUAACAGUUUAGGAAUUAGGGGCCAAAAAAGGGCCCAAAUAAGCAUUAUUCUUGGUUUUCGCACAAUAACUUUAGUUUAAGUAAAUAGAAAUCAAUGAAAUUUAAACACAAGGUUUAUGACCACAAAAGGAAGGUUGGUAUUGAUUUUGGGAGUUGAGGUCUGAACAGUUUAGGAAUUAGGGGCCAAAAAGGGGCCCAAGUAAGCAUUAUUCUUGGUUUUCGCACCAUAACUUUAGUUUAAGUAAAUAGAAAUCUAUGAAAUUUAAACACAAGGUUUAUGACCACUAAAGGAAGGUUGGGUUUGAUUUUGGGAGUUUUGGUCCCAACAGUUUAGGAAUAAGGGGCCCAAAGGGUCCAAAAUUGAACUUAGUUUGAUUUCAUCAAAAAUUGAAUAAUUGGGGUUCUUUGAUAUGCCGAAUCUAACUGUGUAUGUAGAUUCUUAAUUUUUUGGUCCCGUUUUCAAAUUGGUCUACAUUAAGGUCCAAAGGGUCCAAAAUUAAACUUAGUUUGAUUUUGACAAAAAUUGAAUCCUUGGGGUUCUUUGAUAUGCUGAAUCUAAAAAUGUACUUAGAUUUUUGGUUAUAGGCACAGUUUUCAAGUUGGUCCAAAUCGGGUCCAAAUUAAACUUUGUUUGAUUUCAUCAAAAAUUGAAUAAUUGGGGUUCUUUGAUAUGCCAAAUCUUACUGUGUAUGUAGAUUCUUAAUUUUUAGUCCCGUUUUCAAAUUGGUCUACAUUAAAGUCCAAAGGGUCCAAAAUUAAACUAAGUUUGAUUUUAACAAAAAUUGAAUUCUUGAGCUUUUUUGAUAUGCUGAAUCUAAACAUGUACUUAGAUUUUUGAUUAUGGGCCCAGUUUUCAAGUUGGUUCAAAUCAGGAUCCAAAAUUAUUAUAUUAAGUAUUGUGCAAUAGCAAGAAAUUUUCAAUUGCACAGUAUUCAGCAAUAGCAAGAAAUCUUCAAUUGCACAGUAUUGUGCAAUAGCAAGAAAUUUUCAAUUGCACAGUAUUGCGCAAUAGCAAGAAGUCUUCAAUUGCACAGUAUUGUGCAAUAGCAAAUAUUUUCAAUUGCACAGUAUUGCGCAAUAGCAAGAAAUAUCUAAUUGCACAAUAUUGUGCAAUAGCAAGAAAUUUUCAAUUGAUUGGAGUUAUCUUUCUUUGUCCAGAAUAGUAGUUGAAUCAACUUAAAUCAUUGUUUUAUACAAUAUACAAUGUAUAUUCACUUUUACUACCAACUGAUAAAUUAAAACAAUCUUUACCAUUCAGUGAUAACAAGCACCUUUUGUUACAUUUUAAUAUUUUAUGAUGUAUUUAAAUGAGUAGUUAUUGUUGCAAACUCCAUUAGAAAUUUGAAUUGAGAUCAGUUUUGGAAAAAGGGAAAGGGGGAUGUGAAAAAAAAAUGGGGGGGGGGGGUUAAAUUUUUCUCAUUUCAGAUUUCAUAAUAAAGAAAAUUUCUUCAAACAUUUUUUUGAGAGGAUUAAUAUUCAACAGCAUAGUGAAUGCUCAAAGGAAAAAAGUAUUUUAAGUUCAUUAGACCACAUUCAUUCUGUGUCAGAAACCUAUGCUGUGUCAACUAUUUAAUCACAAUCCAAAUUUAGAGCUGAAUCCAGCUUGAAUGUUGUGUCCUACUUGCCCAACCAUUCAGGGUUCAACCUCUGCGGUCGUAUAAAGCUGCACCCUGCGGAGCAUCUGGUUGCUUAUUUGGCAGAUAUAUUUUGUUUGAUAGAAAGGAAAAAAAUGAACAUUUGUUAAUUCAAACAAUUAAAGUUUGAAAUGUAAGUUAUUCCCUUACAGAUGAGAUUUGACCUGAUUUGACUAUUACAAGAUUUGAAUAAAAGAUUUAAAUUUUUCACUAUACAUGACAAGUUUUCACUAUACAUAACCAGUUUUACUAUGUAUUACAACUUAUUUGUCUGUUUUAGGUCCACUAUAUGAAAAUAGUGAAGUGAACUACACAACUCCUUCAAAAGUAGAAAAAGAAUUUACAACAAAAGAUGAAAGUGAAAGUAGACAUACAGAGCAUGUGGAAGGUCCAGUUGAUACAUAUGAAGAACCAAUGGUAUAUAAUAUAUUUUAUGCCCAGUAAAUGAUUGUUUGGGCACUAUAGUUCAUGUACAUCUGUCUGUAAGCCAAUCAGGUUAAAUGUUUGGUGAUGGUAGUUUGCCAUAGUGUUCCUACCUUCGUCAGGAACAAACCUUUGAGAGGUAAUGAGAUUUUUGCUGUAAGAUUUUGUGAGUUUGCUCUAAAUUCGAGUUGUUACUUUUGUGUAGGACCCAACUAUGAAGCUGUUGCUGUUUUCCUUCAGUAUGUAGCUAAAUUAAAAAAUUUUAAAAGUUGACAAAAAGAAAAAAUAAAUUUAUUUCAUGUAUUUUGGUUUGACUUGAAUAUUAGUGCUUUUUGCAAGAGACUUCUGAUUUAUAUUUUAUCCACACUUAGAUACCAGAUACCAGUUACAGUACAUGGGAAAACAUAUUCGUCACCUGUACAUGCUGGGUUUUUUUGCUAUAAUAUUUCAUAAUAAAAAAAUAUUUUGAAGGUAUUUACAAUUGGAUUUUUAUAAACAAGGCGUUAAAAGACUUAUAAAUGUCUAAAGCAAAUUUGUUUUAUUUAUGGAACGACUGUAAUAUUUUUUUCUGUCUAUGAAGAAAAAACAUAAAAAAUGUGGUGCAUACUGAAUAAUGCUCACCACAUCUUUUGUUAUUUCGAAUAGCCUGAUAAUAUAUUAUAGUCAUUUCUAAUAAUUUAAUUCUAAAUUUCCAUUUUAAAAUGACGUAAAUCAUGAAAAAACGUUGAUGACGUCAUGAUCACAUGACGGAAUUGUGUCUAUGAUAUGAUAAACAAAACCACAAACCAAUCAGAAGACCUGUUACAUCCAUAUUAAAUUAUUUGGUCAUAGUUUUGUCUUCAGUUGUUUUUGUUUUGUUUUGAUGUGAACACAGAUUAUAAAAUUUUGCAAUUUAAUUUGGUUGAAAUAUAUAGAAAAUUUCUGAACAAAAUAUUAUUUAUGUUUAUUUCCUGAGAAAAAUGAAAAUUAUCCUGAACAAAAAUACAACCAAGUAAACAAACUAGUCUGUGACAAUUCUGCUUCUUUUAAUACCAAGUUGCUUAAAGUCAAACCAGAAAUGACCCAAAAUAGUUUUUUGGAAAAAAAUGUAGUUUUGUAUGAAUUAUAUAGUGAAAAUCUCAAAUGACAAUGCUUAUGGCCACACUCUGUAUCUUUUAAGGUAAAUAAAGAUCAGCCAUUAGUGAAUGGUCCAACAGACGAGGAUUUGAUGGAGGAAAUAAGCAAAGAAACCUCUAAACAGACUGCUGUGGAAAAUAGUGAGGAGAUACCAUUACAUGCUCCUCCAUCAAAACCCCAGUCAGAACCCCCAGUACUCCCUCAGGAGCCUCCCCCAGAAGAUGAUGACAUUCCAACUAAGGCUGCACCAGCUGUAGAAAAUAAGAAUGAAGAUUCAGAUCAUUAUUAUGAUAGGGUACCAGAUCAGUUAGAUGUUUCUGAUGAUAAAGACAAUGAUGAGGAUAAUUUUUAUGAAAUACCAAGUUCAUCUAAAAUUCCAGAUGUAUUGCCUGAUGAUUGUCUUUAUGUGGUAAGUUAUGGUGACAUAAUGUAUAUUCUAUAUACAUCAUUUUACCCCCACUCUUAAAGUGAGAGCUAUAUUGGACAACCUCAUGCAUCCAUCUAUUCGUCUGUUUGUCUGAAACUUUGUCAGUCCAUCCAACAAAUAUUUUCUUGACACUUUUCUCUGGAACCACUUAACAGAAAAGAUUCAUGCUUGGUCAGCAGCUUGAUAUUGAUGAGUUGUAAAGUAUCUGCAGAUUUUAGAUUCCUUUUUCCUGUUUUCUAAACAUUGAAUGAGGAGUGGAUGCAUUAUCAAAAAGAGACAUUGCCCUUGUAGUAGCACAUGAUAAUAUAAACAAGAAGAUGUGGUAUGAUUGACAAUGAAACAAAUCUCUACAAGAGACCAAAUGACAAAGAAAUGAGCAACAAUAGGCCACCCUAUGGCCUUCAACAAUGAGUGAAGCCGAUUCUGGAUAGUCAGCUUUAAAGGCCUCAAAAUGACAAAUGUAAACAGUUCAAACAAGAAAACCAACAAUUUAUGUAUGAAAUAAUGAACAAAAAUAGAUAUACAGCUACAAACAACAAGCCUUGAAUUACAGGCUCCUGACAUGGGACAGGAACAUAUAAAAGAAUGUGGCGGGGUUAGAUUAGUAUGAAGGCCACUAUGUUUACUUUAUAUGAAUAAUGUACUGUAAAUUCAGAAAUUAUUGCAUGUUUUUAUUAUUGCUUUUUUGUCAUUUUGGACUAAAAUGCAAUUUUAUUUUUUUGCGAUGUUCACAAAUUUUUUUUUGUCUAGUUCAUAUAAAAAAAUUAAUUAUUGCGAUCAUAAUCUGGACAAAUUUUUCGCAAUUAUAAAAACAUUGCAAUAACUUUUGAAUUUAAAGUGAUCUUGUGAGAACUUAUGAUGUUUUUGUUUAUUGUUACAGGUAGUAGCGACACAUGUUUAUAAAAAUGAAGAUGAAGAUGAACUUCCAUUUGAAGCAGGGGAGUUAAUCUAUGUUUUACCAUUUGAUGACCCAGAUGAUCAGGUAACUGAGUAUAUUGUUAACCUAGUAACAAUAAGAUUAUACUGAAUAAGAGGGAAAAAGCACAUUUUUGUGCAUCUUCCAAAUUCCCAAUCUUUCACAAAAAAUUUCUUUUAAUUUAUGAGUUAUGGUCCUUGGACUUAGAAAAUUCACACAAAUAAUCAGUUUGCCUCACUUUUUUUCGUCAUGCUUGUAGAUAUUAAUUUGAUAAUUGGUAUAUAGUUUUAUCAUGACAAGUUACAGAUCAAGUUUAAAUUUCAUUCGGGUCUGAUGAUUUGGUGCAGAGUUAUGGUCCUUACCCUGAGAAAAUUCACUCCAGUCACCAAGUGUCAAUACAUUUUUCUCAUCAGGCUUUGAGAUAUUGACCUGAUGUUUUUUACAUAGUUUACAUUAUGACAAGUUAAAGAUCAAGUUAUCAUUUUGUUCCAGUACAAUGAAUUUCUAACCAGUAGGUUAUACUCACAAAAUGCUUAUUGUAUUUUAUUUGAAAUUAUAAGUUUAUUGAUUUUUACCUUGUUUUUAAUUAUAGGAUGAUGGUUGGUUACUUGGGAUGAGGAAAAGUGAUGGAAAGAAAGGGGUGUUUCCUGAAAACUUUACAAAACGGGUCUGACAGAACAGAUAGAUUUUAAAAGUUGCCAUACUAUAUUUGUAAUUCAUAAAUCAAUCAUUUGUGGCCCAAACACAGGGGGUUUAGGUUACAGGUUUCACUGUAAAGUAUAUUUUUUGUAACAUUUGUCAACACAGAUUUUAAUUUGUAUUGAUUGAAUAUUACAUCUCAUGUUUAACAUAGAUACUACCUCGCCACCUUGUUGAUUGAAACAUUUAUCCACUCAAAGUUGCUUCACAAAUAUGCAAGCUUAAAAAUGUGAAGUUAAAUUAAAUUAAACUACUGAGAGAGGGAAUAUAUUGUGAUGAGCGUGGUUUAAGUUCAAGAAUUGGUUUCUCUAAUUAUUUAAUGAAAAUGUUGUGUACAAAGAUCCUGAUGUAUGUGCAAGGAAAGAUCACAAGAACAAUUUGUCAAACUGGUUACAACUGGUUUAAAACAGAUUUAAAAAAUCAAGUUAUUGCUGGUUUAUUAAACUGAUAAAAACUGGUUUAAAUACAGAUUGAGAGAAUUCAUGCCAUAGCUGAUUUGUCAAAUUGGUUUUAAUUGCAUACAGAGUUAGAAAAAUCAUGUUAUUACCUGCAAUUGUUAAUUUACCCACCUGUUAGUUCCAUUUAGUUUCUGUUCUACUUAAUAAUGUUAUGGUGCUAUUACAUCAAUAAUUAUUCAUUACAUUUAUUCAGUGUUGACUGUAGUUAUAUUGUUUGGUGUAAUAAUAGCUAUAUCUUAUAAGUUUUUCACUGUAAAACAAAUUGUGAUAUUCAAAUCAUAAGCUUAUAUGCAAACAAAUUUACAAACAUCAUUUAAAUCUGGGAAUUUAUUUCCUGUUCAAUUUGACAAAUUUUUUAUUUAAUCCCUUGAUUUUACAUUUUUAUGUCAUCAGUUUGAAUAUUUUUGAAUCAUAAUGCAACCAAAUGAAAGAAAGAAACAUGAGAUAUUUGUUUCAUGGGAGAAAAUCAAUGUUUUAUGUAUGAUUAGGAAUACUAAACUAACGCUCAGACAUUUCUUAUGCCCCUGUCGUAGCAGUAUAUUGUGCAAAUAUUGCAGUUAGAAUUUGAACUUGAAUAACAGUUCUCAUACAUACAAAAUAUGAGAUUAUAAUGCAAAUGGAGAUUUUUAUGAUAAAGUUUAUUAUUUUUCUUUUAAAUUUUUGGGAAAAACUGGUUACCUUUCCAAAUUAUGUUGUGUACCUUACUUAAUAUUGAAGGAAUAUUAUAUGAAAUUUGUAUGUUUGAGUAGGAAGCUACAGGAAGUUAUAUGUCUAGGCAUUUUACAAGAGGGGUUCCAACCAUAUGUCUCCCAUACAAAAGCAUUAGUGGUAAAAAAAAUGAUGGUUUCAACCUCCAGAGCAUUCACAACUGAGCUUGGAAUAUACACUAUACAGUAAUGUAAAAAGGGUCACAGUCUUUAAUUUUAUAGAAGUUGUAUUAUAUAUGGGUAAUAGAUUGUGAUACAAAGAUAUUGAGGGUACAUAUAUAUCAAUAAACCAAUAGAAACAACUAUCCUAAAUUUACUGGUGAAGUAAAAUUUUCUUAAAAUAAUGUCAUUUGUUGUAAACUGAAGUACAUGGUAGGAUACAAUUUUAGAUAUAGAAAAUAAAAGUACUAUUUUAAUAUAUUAUUGUAAAUUACUAUUAAAUACUCUACAUAGAUAUUUAGGAUACAAAAUAUUUUAUCAUUAUUUGUACACUAUAUAUGAAUUAUUAGAACAAUAGUUUUUCGUUCAAGAGUUGUGUAUCAACAUGUGAUUUGAAGUAGCCUGUGGGAAAAGUAGAUAAACAAACUCAUCAUAGAUACCAGGACUAAAUUUUGUAUAUACGCCAGAUGCGCAUUUUGUCUAAAAUUCUUAUAUUUUGGAAUUUUGAAAACUUCUGUUUUUAGAGAAAGAAGGAUUUACUAGAAAAAUGUGAAUACAUGAUCAUGAUGGGUUUUCCACACAUGGGUUUAUACAGUUGUAAAUUCACUAAAGAAAUCCUUUUUUUAUGUCCAGGUUUAAAAGUUUAAUUCAGUAAAAAAAGUAAUGAAAACAACUGUUAUUGUAUUUUGAUCAUUUGGCAGGGUAUUAUAUUUUUGAUAAACUUUUUUCUUUGCAUGAUUGUAAGAUCUUACUGUAACUGUUGAUAACUUAAGUCUAUUUGUGGAUUAGGAUAUCAUUUAUAACAGGGUUUUGUAUUAUACUUCUGCAUUGCAGCUUAUUAGAUUAUGUAAAAUAUCUUUGUUCACAUGAAAAUGUAAUUUUUUAUGAAUAAUGAAAAGUUUUAAUGUAGAGAAUUUACAGCCAUUAUGAAAAAUGAUAAAUCCUUGAUUCUCAUCCACUCAAACUUUUUCAGAAUCAAAAAUAAAAUUUAAAUUCGAUUUUUGUCUGUUUUUCACUUUUGGUAGAAGUUUUUAGGAAAAAGGUUUUUAAGCUGACUAUGUAUUAUUGGCCUUGCUCAUUGUUGAAGGCAGUACAUUGACAAAUUUCUGUGUCAUUUUGGUCUGUUGUGGAGAGUUGUCUCAUUGGCAAUCAUACCACAUCUUUUUAAUACCAACUUAUUUGGUGGAUGAGGAUCUACGAAUUUGUUUAUAAUGGCCUUUAAAAAAAAAUGUUUAUUUUAUGUUGAUCACUUAUUUUUUAAAUCGAACAUCAUUGAUUGCUGAAGCAACAGAUUUUAUUCUACAUGAGAGUGCUAUUUAAGAUAUUCACCUACAUAAUCAUAUUACAUGUUCAGCCUAUUUUCUAUAAAACAUAAUGUUUGUUGAUUAAUCGCAUUUAAAAUGUUAAAUACUUAUUAUCAUUUGUUAAUAUGUACAAUUGUUGUUUUAUAAAUGCCUAAUAGUGCAUUUACAUAUAAUCAUAUAAUCAAUUUCUUGUAAUUGAUAAUUAUGGAUAUUUACUCUUCAAAAGCCUUAAAUACUCUUCAGGAUAGUUACCCGAAAACAUGCUGGGAAGUCACUUUUAUAUCUUAAUUUUAUUGGGGACAGUGAAAAAGAAAGAGAAAUUUUAAAAACUAUACGAGAUAACCGUAUUUCCACAUGCCGUCACUUUGUACCAUGUUUGUUUUUAAUGGAACAGCCUUUGUACUUAAAGCUGCAUUUACAGCCAAAAAACUCAGAAACUCUCCAUAUAUUUUAUAAAAGAUUUUCUAGUCUACCCCAAUUAAACAGAAUAGCAGCUGAAAUCUUGAAAUCUUCAUGUCAGAUGAAUUUGAUGUAUCACUAUAAGGACAAGACGAAGUAAGAAGGUUUCUUCUAGAGGUUUACAAAACAUUUAGUUCUUUUCAUGUGUUGUAUCAGACAUACUUACUAAUAUAAUUUUUAAAAAUGGAAAAAAGCAAUUUAACUUGAAUAAGGUAUACAAAAUGUUUUGGCGGAUUCAAAAAUUUCAUCAAUACCAUUGUAUGUUCACUUUUGAAUUGGCGGAAUUUAUUUGGUGAUUUUGUUCUAUUAGCGAAAAUAAGCAAAAAUUUACACCACGCAAAAAUAACCCAAUAAACAGUAUCAAAAAUUUCAGAAAAGUACUAACUGGCAAAAUAUUAUAUGUCUAAUCAAGAUAAUAAUUUAUAUAUGUGGUUAUACCUAUAUUGUUGUGAGAUUAUAAAUAAGAGAAAAAAUAAAAUAUUUACUUGCGUUGGAUUAUAUUUUUG